rnacentral:lncRNA from 1 species
AACACCGUGGAUCUGUCGCACAACCAGCUGAGCGGCGACGCGUCCUUCCUCUUCUCCGAGGGGCGGCCCAUCGGCAAGGUGGACCUGUCCUACAACAACCUCGACUUCGAGCUGAGCAGGCUCAAGUUCCCCAAGGAGCUGACGUACCUGGACCUGAGCCACAACCGCAUCAGGGGCACCGUGCCCCGGUCGCUGGAGGCGCUGUCCACGCUGCUCACGCUGGACCUCAGCUACAACAACCUCUGCGGGCCGCUCCCCAAGCUGCACGGCGUCAUGCGGCACGGCUGCAAGGCCUACGAGCACAACCUCUGCCACCGCGGGGCGCCGCUCGAGAGCAGCUGCCACCAGCUCUGAGCUCGCCGCCGGCGCCCGGCAGGCGUACGUUAUAUGAGUGGUGUGUUGGCGUUCUCGUGCGCAUACGGACGCACGAAGGACGGUGCUUUGGGGCUUAGUAAACUCACUAGUGGAGUGGAGCACCGCGGUGGUGGCAAUGCCUGACACGCGCGGUCCUUGAGCUUGUGUACGAAACGAUAGAGAUGUGUGUGCGUGCCGUGUCCUGUGUGUGUACCGUCUGGAGAUGCGCCCGAGAGUGUGUGUGUGCCCGUGUUCGGGAUGGAUGGAUCAUCCCAGUUACCUGAUGUAUCAACUGUUAAAUGGUAAUUAUGUUUGGCUUACUUUUACAUGCUUUUCUGAGAGGCAUACAAAUGUAUGCACAUACAGCAAGAGAUGUCUGAAAAACGCAGCAGAGGGUGGGUGAGAACUUAAAAGUUCAGUUCAUGCAUGCACAUACAGCAAGAGAUGUCUGAAGGAUUCUGAAAUCUGAACACAUUUGACUCAGCGUGCGCACAACAUGCAAAAACUGAUGGUUUCAAGCGACAACAAAGUUUGUGUUAUUGGCUGGAGACGAAUCAUGCUCGUCCACUAAUGAAUGCACGCAAAUAUAUUUUUUAAACAAGGCAAAAGACUUGCUAUUUCAUUGAUAAAGGAGAAUGUUCUAGACAGAAACCGCAAAACGGCAAAUAGGAGGCCUACUAACACCCAAAUGUUUCGCUCCGGCCAUAGCCCAAAGUAACACCUCCUGUUUGAUUUUGUUGAUGAUGACCAUGAAAGGGGCCGCCGAGUUGCGGAAGACUCUAGCAUUACACUCCGACCAAACCUCCCAAGAGAUGAGCAUCAUAAGAGAGGCAAGCGCCUUGGGCGAGUCAAGACGGAGCUGAAGGUUUCCAUUCCACCAUUCUCUGACCGAAGCCCUCGUCACCCAAGUAGACGUGGUGCUGUGAUGCAUGCCAAGCCACGGGAGGACGUCAUUCCAAAUGCGCAUGGUGUAGCGACACUGGAAAAGCAGAUGAGCCGUGGUUUCUUGGGUUUGCUUGCAAAGAGGACAUAGUCCGCAGUUAGGCCAACCACGACGGCUCAAGCGGUCCAAAGUCCAAAUCCUAUCUUGAAGAACAAGCCAAGCAAAAAACUUGCAUCGAGGAGGCGCCCACACCGUCCACACUGAAUGGACAAGGUCCGAGUUGGUGAGGCCUGAAGGAAAUAUGCCCUAGAGGCAAUAAUAAAGUUAUUAUUUAUUUCCUUAUAUCAUGAUAAAUGUUUAUUAUUCAUGGUAGAAUUGUAUUAACCGAAAACUUAGUACAUGUGUGAAUACAUAGACAAACAUAGUGUCACUAGUAUGCCUCUACUUGACUAGCUCGUUGAUCAAAAAUGGCUAUGUUUCCUAGCCAUAGACAUGAGUUGUCAUUUGACUAACGAGGUCACAACAUUAGGAGAAUGAUGUGAUUGACUUGACCCAUUCCGUUAGCUUAACACUUGAUCGUUUAGUUUGUUGCUAUUGCUUUCUUCAUGACUUAUACAUGUUCCUAUGACUAUGAGAUUAUGCAACUCCCGUUUACCGGAGGAAUGAUACGUCUCCAAUGUAUCUACUUUUCCAAACACUUUUGCCCUUGUUUUGGACUCUAAAUUGCAUGAUUUGAAUGGAACUAACCUGGAAUGACGCUGUUUUUAGCAGAAUUACCAUGGUGUUAUUUAUGUGCAGGAGCAAACGUUCUCGGAAUGACCUGAAACUUCACGGAGCCACUUUUCAGAAAAUAAAAAAAAUACCUGCAAAAGAUGAAGGCCAGGAGCCCACCACCUCUCCACGAGGGUGGGGCGCACGCCAGCCCCCUAGGGCGCGCCCCCUACCUCGUGGGCCCCCUGUUGCCUCUCCUCCAUAUAUUGAGUUUCGGGGAGAAAAAAACAGAGAGAAAAAAUCAUCGCGUUUUACGAUACGGAGCCGCCGCCAAGCCCUAAAACCUCUCGGGAGGGCUGAUCUGGAGUCCGUUCGGGGCCCCGAAGAGGGGAAUCCGUCGCCAUCGUCAUCAUCAACCAUCCUCUAUCACCAAUUUCAUGAUGCUCACUGCCGUGCGUGAGUAAUUCCAUCAUAGGCUUGCUGGACGGUGAUGGGUUGGAUGGGAUCUAUCAUGUAAUCGAGUUAGUUUUGUUAGGGUUUGAUCCCUAGUGUCCACUAUGUUCUGAGAUUGAUGUUGCUAUGACUUCGCUAUGCUUAAUGCUUGUCACUAGGGCCCAAGUGCCAUGAUUUCAGAUCUGAACCUAUUAUGUUUUCAUCAAUAUAUGAGUGUUCUUGAUCCUAUCUUGCAAGUCUAUAGUCACCUAUUAUGUGUUAUGAUCCGUUAACCCCGAAGUGACAAUAAUCGGGAUACUUACCGGUGAUGACCGUAGUUUGAAGAGUUCAUGUAUUCACUAUGUGUUAAUGCUUUGUUCCGGUUCUUUAUUAAAAGGAGGCCUUAAUAUCCCUUAGUUUCCGUAAGGACCCCGCUGCCACGGGAGGGUAGGACAAAAGAUGUUAUGCAAGGUCUUUUCCAUAAGCACACAUGACUAUAUUCGGAAUACAUGCCUACAUUACAUUGAUGAACUGGAGCUAGUUCUGUGUCACCCUAGGUUAUGACUGUUACAUGAUGAACCGCAUCCGGCAUAAUUCUCCAUCAUCGAUCCAUUGCCUACGAGCUUUCCAUAUAUUGUUCUUCGCUUAUUUACUUUCCCGUUGCUAUUGCUAUCAUCACUACAAAAUACCAAAAACAUUACUUUUACUACUGUCACCUUUUGCUACCGUUACCACUACUAUCAUAUUACUUUGCUACUAAAUACUUUGCUGCAGAUAUUAAGUUUCCAAGUGUGGUUGAAUUGACAACUCAGCUGCUAAUACUUGAGAGUAUUCUUUGGCUCCCCUUGUGUCGAAUCAAUAAAUUUGGGUUGAAUAUUCUACCCUCAAAAACUGUUGCGAUCCCCUAUACUUGUGGGUUAUCAAGACUAUUUUCUGGUGCCGUUGCCGGGGAGCAUAGCUCUAUUCUUUGAGUCACUUGGGAUAUAUAUCUGCUUAUCAUUAUGAAGAACUUGGGGAUCGAGGAGUACCCACUAUACCAUGCUCUAUUAAAAGAAACUAUGUAAAACUGCUUUAUGUGAUCUUGGAGACGGUGUUAGUGUUAUGCCUCUCUCUUUAUAUCGUAGACUUGAUUUGAAUAAGUUGAUACCUACUGAAAUAUCUUUGCAAAUGGCUGAUAAAUCAACUGCUAUACCUGUUGGUAUUUGUGAGGAUGUGCCUGUUGUAGUUGCAAACGUUACUAUUUUAACGGACUUUGUUAUUCUUAAUAUUUCCGAGGACGAUAGUAUGUCUAUUAUUCUUGGAAGACCCUUUUUGAAUACUGCGGGGGCUUUUAUUGAUUGCACUAAAGGCAAUGUCACUUUUCAUGUUAAUGGUAAUGAGCAUACGGUACACUUUACGAGGAAACAACCCCAAGUUCAUAGUAUCAACUCUAUUGGAAAAAUUCCAUCGAUUAUAUUUGGAGGUUUUGAAUUUCCUCUUCCUACUAUCAAGAAGAAAUAUGAUAUUCUUAUUAUUGGGGAUGUGUAUAUCCCCGUUGAGGUAACAUAGUAUUAUUCGAAAUUUCUCCGGUUCCAUAUUAUUCGGAAUGAGUUCGUUAACAAGACUUGAUCAACCUUGUUAGUGGAUUCCUUUUGAUGAUUAUGAGAUGGAUGAAACUAGAAGGCACAACCUUCUGUACCCCACUUUUACUUUCUGUUAUUUACAUUAAAUAAAAUAAAAAUAAAUAUUUUUCUGUCUGUUAUCUGAUUAUCCGUGCAAUAUAAAAAUACCUCAAAAAUAAAAGUUCUCCAAAUGCCCUAAAAUUUAAAUAUGAUUUUUUCUAAAAUAUUUGAGAAUAUUCGGUACUGAGAACACAGCAGGGGGUCAACCACCUGCCCACGAGGGUGGAGGGCGCACCCCCUGCCUCGUGGGCCCACGGUGGCCCUCCUCCACUUACUCCUGCAUCCACACACUUCAUCUUCCUCCCACAAACACGAAUAUCCAGUUCAAGCACGAGUUCUAGCUCACUUUGCUGCCAUUUUUGAUCUCCUUGCUCAAAGCACCUCUCACAAAUCUGCUUGGGGAGAUUGUUCCUUGGUAUGUGACUCCUCCAUUGGUCCAAUUAGUUUUUGUUCUAGUGCUUUAUUCAUUGCAAAUUUUUGUUGCUUAGGUGACCCUGUUCUUGAGUUUGCAUGUCAAAUUUAUAUGGUUCCAAGUAGUUUUGAUGCAUGAUAUAGGCUCUAGGCACUUGUAAGAGUAGUUGCUAUCAAUAUUAUUGAGUUUGGUUUACUUUUAUUUUGAAGUUACUAAAAAUUUCAGAAUUUUUCAGAGGAAGAAAAAUGCUUAGGAAAAUGUUCCAAGGAGGUUCUUCAAGGAAGCAAGGACCCAGGCUUGCAAUGCGUGAUGCUGAUGACGAGCCACCAAGAGACACUCCAGUGCGUCCUUGUGAAUGGCCCUCUGAGAACUUUCUGGAUCGAGCGGGAAUUAAGGAAGAAUUCAACGCAUAUUUGCGUAACGCUGAUCUUGUGAGCUUCGAGGAAGAGAAGUGCAGCCAGUAUCACAACCUCACUAGUACCUUUGUGAGGAGGUUUGAAUUUUCAACUUCACGUAAUUCUCCAACUCUCCUGUUUGAUCUUUAUGAUAAAUCUUACACUAUGGACUUAGAGGAUUGGACAGUUUGAUCUUUAUGAUAAAUCUUACACUAUGGACUUAGAGGAUUUUACCACUGCUUGCAAACUUCCACAAUGGGGUAGUAUAAGGGAUCCUCGCAAAUCUGAAUUUAGAGAUUUUCUUGCUAGCAUAAUUGUGGGAGAAUCUAGAGAUAUUACAUAAGCUACCAUAGGGAGCAUUCACUUUCCCGCUAUACAUUAUUUUGCUCUCUUCAUAGGUAGAUGCAUUAAUGGUAAAGAUGAGGCAUGUCACAUGUGUGUCCCCGAUCUUAGUAUUCUUAGGAGUGCUGUGUUAGGAGACAAAUCAUAAAAUUUGGGAGCCAUUGUUGCACGUAGGUUGCAUCUUAAUAGACUUAAUGGAGAUUUUUUUGGUGGAAUUUAUGCAACACACAUAGCUAAUUUUCUUGGUAUAGCCAUACGCGAAGAUGAUAUUGAAUUACCUCCUGCUUAUCUAGAUUUUAAUGCUAUGGUUCACCACCAGUUUGUCGAGAGGAACAGAUCACCUCUCCAGUAUCGACUAAUCUUUGACAAACGUCGUGCUGUCCAUAUUACUCUCCCUGCUCCUGCCUUCUUUAAUUAUCAGGCAAGAGGAGGAUAUACUAUUACCAGAGAGGAGGCAGAUGAAUACGAGAGGAGAGAGGAGGCCGCUCGUCGCCACGCUGCAGCUCAGCAGGCGAUAGCUGCUGCAUCGCAGUACGACCCCGGCUACUAUUAUGGAUACCCGCCAGGCCAGCCGUGGCCAUAGACCAACUUAGGCCAAAAGACUAAGCUUGGGGGAGUACAUAUUUCCCACCGACAUUACAUUUAUGUUCACACACUCAUUGCUAGAUGUCGGUGCUCAUACUUUUUCAUUGUAUCAUCCAUGCUAGUUUAUUUUCCUUUUUAUGCUUUCUUCUCGUGUGUUUAAUAAACCUUAAGAAAAACCAAAAAAAUUAGUUGUAGCUUUUAAUUAAUUUACUUUCCAUGAUUGUAGUAGUAAUUAAAAAGAAAAUCCAAAAAAAUUCCUGUUCUUCUUUUGCUUGUUGUGAGCUUUCCCGUGUAAAUAGUUUUAUUUCUUUUCUUUUCUUUGGGGGUUGAUAGGAGAAGACCAUAAUUAAAUUGUUGAAGUGGCUCUUAUAUGCAUUAUUGUUAAUCUGACAAAAGAGCCCAUAUUGCCUUGUCUUCUCCUGUUUAUUGAAUGCCUGCAGAUUCCAACUUAGUCCAAUGCACGUGCACUAUUAUUAUUAUUCACAUCGUUCGGUCGUGCAAGUGAAAGGCAAUUAUGAUGAUGUAUGCUGGACUGGCUGAGAUGAGAAAAGCUGGUAUGAACUCAACCUCUUUUGUUUUUGUAAAUAUGAUUAGUUCAUCGUUCCCGAUUCAGCCUAUUAUGAAUAAACAUGUUUGCAAUGACAAUUAGAGAUCAUAGUUUCUUGUGUCAUGCUUGAUUAGCUAUGAGUUAUAAUGGUUUACCUUGCGUGCCAACAUGCUAUUAAAAUGGUUAUGAUGUGGUAUGAUAGGGUGGUAUCCUCCUCUGAAUGGUUUAAGUGACUUGACUUGGCACAUGUUCACGCAUGUAGUUGAAACAAAAUCAACAUAGCGUUCACGAUAUUUAUGUUCAUGGUGGAUUAUAUCCUACUCAUGCUUGCAUUCGGUGUUGAUUAAUUUUAAUGCAUGUUCAUGACUGUGGUCGCUCUCUAGCUGGUCGCUUCCCAGUUUUUUGCUAGCCUUCACCUGUACUAAGCGGGAAUACUGCUUGUGCAUCCAAAUCCCUUAAACCCCAAAGUUAUUCCACAUGAGUCCACUAUACCUACCUAUAUACGGUAUCUACCUGCCGUUCCAAGUAAAUUUGUAUGUGCCAAACUCUAAACCUUCAAAUAAAUAUCCUAUUUUGUAUGCUCGAAUAGCUCAUGUAUCAACUAGGGUUGUCCGUAUCUUCCAUGUUAGGCGGGUUAUUCUCAAGAGGAGUGGACUCCGCUCCUCACUCACGAGAUAAAUGGCUGGUCACCGGGAUGCCCAGUCCCAUGCUUUAUGCAAACUAAAUCAAAAUAAUUGCAAACAAAACUCUCCCUGGGACUCUUGUUAGUUGGAGGCACUCGUUGUUUCAAGCAAGCCAUGGAUUGAUACUUGUUGGUGGAAGGGGGAGUAUAAACUUUACCAUUCUGUUUGGGAACCGCCUAUAAUGUGUGUAGCAUGGAAGAUAUCGCCAUCUCUUGGUUGUUAUGUUGACAAUGAAAGUAUACCGCUCAAAAUAUUAUUCACCUCUGUUUCAAAACCGAGCUCUGGCACCUCUACAAAUCCCUGCUUCCCUCUACGAAGGGCCCAUCUAUUUACUUUAAUACUGAGUCAUCAUCCUCUUAUUAAAAAGCACCAGUUGGAGAGCACCGCUCUCAUUUGCAUUCAUUACUGUUAGUUUAUAUUGAGUAUGACUUGACUGGAUCUCUUUUACCAUGAAUUACAAUGUCUAGUCAGUCCUUGGUCUUUAAAGGUGCUCUGCAUUUAUGUUUUGCGGUAUCAGAAAUGUCUAGCGAGAUACCAUCUUGUUAUAUUAUAUUAUGAUUGUUUUGAGAAAGUGUUGUCAUCCGAGAUUUAUUAGUAUGGCUCGCUAGUUGAUUAUGCUAUUAAUAUGAGUAAACUUGAGAUCUAUGUGUUAUUGCAAAUGUGGUUAGUUAUAAUCUUUGCUGAAAACUUGAAUGUUGGCUUUACAUAUUUACAACAACAAGAGCAAACAGAGUUUGUAAAAGUUUUUCUUUAUCACUUUCAGUUUGUCAACUGAAUUGCUUGAGGACAAGCAGAGGUUUAAGCUUGGGGGAGUUGAUACGUCUCCAACGUAUCUACUUUUCCAAACACUUUUGCUCUUGUUUUGGACUCUAACUUGCAUGAUUUGAAUGGAACUAACCCGGACUGAUGCUGUUUUCAGCAGAAUUACCAUGGUGUUAUUUAUGUGCAGGAGCAAACGUUCUCGGAAUGACCUGAAACUUCACGGUGCCACUUUUCAGAAAAUAAGAAAAAUACCUGCAAAAGAUGAAGGCCAGGGGGCCCACCACCUCUCCACGAGGGUGGGGGGCACGCCUGCCCCCCUAGGGCGUGCCCCCUACCUCGUGGGCCCCCUGUUGCCUCUCUGACUCCAACUCCAACUCCAUAUAUUGAGUUUCAGGGAGAAAAAAUCAGAGAGAAGAACUCAUCACGUUUUACGAUACGGAGCCGCCGCCAAGCCCUAAAACCUCUCGGGAGGGCUGAUCUGGAGUCCGUUCGGGGCUCCGGAGAGGGGAAUCCGUUGCCAUCGUCAUCAUCAACCAUCCUCCAUCACCAAUUUCAUGAUGCUCACCGCUGUGCGUGAGUAAUUCGAUCGUAGGCUUGCUGGACGGUGAUGGGUUGGAUGGGAUCUAUCAUGUAAUCGAGUUAGUUUUGUUAGGGUUUGAUCCCAAGUGUCCACUAUGUUCUGAGAUUGAUGUUGCUAUGACUUCACUAUGCUUAAUGCUUGUCACUAGGGCCCGAGUGCCAUGAUUUCAGAUCUGAACCUAUUAUGUUUUCAUCAAUAUAUGAGUGUUCUUGAUCCUAUCUUGCAAGUCUAUAGUCACCUAUUAUGUGUUAUGAUCCGUUAACCCCAAAGUGACAAUAAUCGGGAUACUUACCGGUGACGACCGUAGUUUGAGGAGUUCAUGUAUUCACUAUGUGUUAAUGCUUUGUUCCGGUUCUCUAUUAAAAGGAGGCCUUAAUGUCCCUUAGUUUCAGUAAGGACCCCGCUGCCAUGGGAGGGUAGGACAAAAGAUGUUCUGCAAGUUCUUUUCCAUAAGCACGCAUGACUGUAUUCGGAAUACAUGCCUACAUUACAUUGAUGAACUGGAGCUAGUUCUGUGUCACCCUAGGUUAUGAUUGUUACAUGAUGAACCGCAUCCGGCAUAAUUCUCCAUCACCAAUCCAUUGCCUACGAGCUUUCUAUAUAUUGUUCUUCGCUUAUUUACUUUCCCGUUGCUAUUGCUAUCAUCACUACAAAAUACGAAAAACAUUACUUUUACUACUGUCACCUUUUGCUACCGUUACCACUACUAUCAUAUUACUUUGCUACUAAAUACUUUGCUGCAGAUAUUAAGUUUCCAGGUGUGGUUGAAUUGACAACUCAGCUGCUAAUACUUGAGAGUAUUAUUUGGCUCCUCUUGUGUCGAAUCAAUAAAUUUGGGUUGAAUACUCUACCCCCGAAAACUGUUGCGAUCCCCUAUACUUGUGGGUUAUCAAGGAACACUUUGUGUGCUACCAAACAUCAAAACAUAACUGGGUGAUUAUAAAGGUUCUCUACAGGUGUCUCCAAAGGUACUUGUUGCGCUGGCGUAUUUCGAGAUUAGGAUUUGUCACUCCGAUUGUCGGAGAGGUAUCUCUGGGUCCUCUCGGCAAUGCACAUCACUUAAGCCUUGCAAGCAUUGCAACUAAUGAGUUAGUUGCGGGAUGAUGUAUUACGGAACGAGUAAAGAGACUUGCCGGUAAUGAGAUUGAACUAGGUAUUGAGAUACUGAUGAUCGAAUCUCGGGCAAGUAACAUACCGAUGACAAAGGGAACACCGUAUGUUGUUAUGCGGUCUGACCGAUAAAGAUCUUCGUAGAAUAUGUGGGAGCCAAUAUGAGCAUCCAGGUUCCGCUAUUGGUUAUUGACCGGAGACGUGUCUCGGUCAUGUCUACAUAGUUCUCGAACCCGUAGUGUUCGCACGCUUAACGUUUCGAUGACAAUUAUAUUAUGAGUUUAUAUGUUUUGAUGUACGGAAGGUUAGUCAGAGUCCCAGGUGUGAUCACGGACAUGACGAGGAGUCUCGAAAUGGUCGAGACAUGAAGAUUGAUAUAUUGGAAGCCUAUGUUUGGAUAUCGGAAGUGUUCCGGGUGAAAUCGGGAUUUUACCGGAGUACCGGGAGGUUACCGGAACUACCCGAGAGGUUAAUGGGCCUUAGUGGGCAUUUUCGGGGAAGAGGAGAGGGGGCCAGGGCUGGGCCGCGCACCCCUUCCCCCUAGUCCGGAUAGGACAAGGAGAGGGGGCGGCGCCCCCCUUCCUUCCUCUCUCCCUCCUCUUUCCCCCUCCCAAGUCCUAAUCCAACUAGGAAAGAGGGGGAGUCCUACUCCCUGUGGGAUUAGGACUCCUCCUGGUGUGCCCUCUCUCUUUGCCGGCCGCACCCCCCCUUUCUCCUUUGUAUACGGUGGCAGGGGCACCCUAGAGACACAAUAAUUGAUCUGUUUGAUCUUUUAGCCGUGUGUGGUGCCCCCCUCCACCAUAGUCCACCUCGAUAAUACUGUGGCGGUGCUUAGGCGAAGCCCUGCGUCGGUAGAACAUCAUCAUCGUCACCACGCCGUCGUGCUGACGAAACUCUCCCUUAACACUCGGCUGUAUCGAAGUUCGAGGGAGUCAUCGGGCUGAACGUGUGCUGAACUCGGAGGUGCCUAGCGUUCGGUACUUGAUCGGUCGAAUCGUGAAGAUGUACGACUACAUCAACCGCGUUGUGCUAACGCUUCUGCUUUCGGUCUACGAGGGUACGUGGAGAACACUCUCCCCUCUUGUUGCUAUGCAUCACCAUGAUCUUGUGUGUGCGUAGGAAUUUUUUUGAAUUUACUACGUUCCCCAACAGUGAUAUCAGAGCCCAGUUUUAUGCGUAGAUGUCAUAUGCACGAGUAGAACACAAGUGAGUUGUGGGAGAUAUAAGUCAUACUGCUUACCAGCAUGUCAUUCUUUGGUUUGGCGGUAUUGUUGGAUGAAGCGGCCCGGACCGACAUUACACGUACGCUUACGCGAGACUGGUUCUACCGACGUGCUUUUCACACAGGUGGCUGGCGGGUGUCAGUUUCUCCAACUUUAGUUAAACCGAGUGUGGCUACGCCCGGUCCUUGCGAAGGUUAAAAUAGCACCAAUUUGACAAACUAUCGUUGUGGUUUUGAUGCGUAGGUAAGAACGGUUCUUGCUAAGCCUGUAGCAGCCAUGUAAAAUUUGCAACAACAAAGUAGAGGACGUCUAACUUGUUUUUGCAGGGCAUGUUGUGAUGUGAUAUGGUCAAGACAUGAUGAGAUAUAAGUUAUUGUAUAAGAUGAUCAUGUUUUGUUGAAGUUAUCGGCAACUGGAAGAAGCCUUAUGGUUGUCUCUUUAUUGCAUAAUAUGCAAGCGCCAAAUAAUUGCUUUACUUUAUCGCUAUGCGAUAGCAAUAGUUGUAAGAGCAAUAGUUGGCGAGACGACCAUGUGACAACACAUUGACAUAGAUCAAGAUGAUGGAGAUCAUGGUGUCAUGCCGGCGACGAUGGAAAUCAUGACGAUGCUUUGGAGAUGGGGAUCAAAGGCACAAGAUGAUGAUGGCCAUAUCAUGUCACAUAUUUUGAUUGCAUGUGAUGUUUAUCUUUUAUACAUCUUAUUUUGCUUAGUUCGACUGUAGCUUUAUAAGAUGAUCUCUCACUAAUUAUCAAGGUACAAGUGUUCUCCCUGAGUAUGCACCAUUGCGAAAGUUCUUCGUGCUGAGACACCACGUGAUGAUCGGGUGUGAUAGGCUCUACAUUCAAAUACAACGGGUGCAAAACAGUUGCACACGCAGAAUACUCAGGUUAAACUUGACGAGCCUAUCAUAUAACAGAUAUGGCCUCGGAACACUAAGACCGAAAGGUCGAGCGUGAAUCAUAUAGUAGAUAUGAUCAACAUAGUGAUGUUCACCAUUGAAACUACUCCAUCUCACGUGAUGAUCGGACAUGGUUUAGUUGAUAUGGAUCAGGUGAUCACUUAGAGGAUUAGAGGGAUGUCUAUCUAAGUGGGAGUUCUUAAGUAAUAUGAUUAAUUGAACCUAAAUUUAUCAUGAACUUAGUCCUGGUAGUAUUAGCAUAUCUAUGUUGUAGAUCAAUAGCUCGCGUUUAGCUCCCCUGUUUUAUUUUUGAUAUGUUCCUAGAGAAAACUAAGUUGAAAGAUGAUAGUAGCAAUGAUGCGGACUGGGUCCGUGAUCUGAGGAUUAUCCUCAUUACUGCACAGAAGAAUUAUGUCCUUGAUGCACUGCUAGGUGACAGACCUAUUGCAGGAGCAGAUGCGGACGUUAUGAAUAUUUGACAAGCUCGGUAUGAUGACUACUUGAUAAUUUAGUGCACCAUGCUUUACGACUUAGAACCGGGACUUCAAAAAUGUUUUGAAUGCCAUGGAGCAUAUGAGAUGUUCCAAGAGCUGAAAAUGAUAUUUCAUACUCAUGCCCGUGUUAAGAGGUAUGAUACCUCUGACAAGUACUUUGCCUACAAGAUGGAGGAGAAUGGCUCAGCCAGUGAGCAUGUACUCAGAAUGUCUGGGUAGUACAAUCGCUUGAAUCAGGUGGGAUUUAAUCUUCCAGAUAAAGAUAGUGAUUGACAAAGUUCUCUAGUCACUAUCACCAAGCUACUAGAACUUCGUGAUAAACUAUAAUAUGCACGGGAUAACGAAAAUGAUUCCUGAGCUCUUCGUGAUGCUAAAAUCGGCGAAGGUAGAAAUCAAGAAAAAGCAUCAAGUGUUGAUGGUUGAAAAGACCACUAGUUUCAAGAAAAAGGGCAAAGGAAAAGAAAGGGAACUUCAAGAAGAAUGACAAGCAAGUUGCCACUCCCUAAUGUCACCUAGAUACUCCAAUGUCACCUCAAGUAUCCGUGGGUAUGAUUGUACGAUAUGCGUCACACAAUCUCAGAUUCAUCUAUUCAAACCAACACAAAGGACCUCAAAGAGUGCCCCAAAGUUUCUACCAGAGAAUCACGACGAAAACAUGUGCCAACCCCUAUGCAUAGCUUCAUGGGCGGAACCCGCAAGUUGAUCACCAAAACAUACAUCAAGUGAAUCACGUGGUAUCCCAUUGUCACCACAGAUACGCACGGCAAGACAUACAUCAAGUGUUCUCAAAUCUUUAAAGACUCAAUCCGAUAAGAUUACUUCAAAGGGGAAACUCAAUCCAAUACAAGAGAGUAGAGGGGGAGGAGAAACAUAAGAUCCAACUAUAAUAGCAAAGCUCGCGAUACAUCAAGAUCGUACCACCUCAAGAACACGAGAGAGAGAGAGAGAGAUCAAACACAUAGCUACUGUACAUACCCUCAGCCCCGAGGGAGAACUACUCCCUCCUCGUCAUGGAGAGCACCGGAAUGAUGAAGAUGGCCACCGGAGAGGGAUUGCCCCCUCCGGCAUGGUGCCGGAAUGGGUCUAGAUUGGUUUUCAGUGGCUACAGAGGCUUCUGGCGGCGGAACUCCCGAUCUAUUGUGCUCUCUGGAAGUUUUAGGGUAUAUGGAGAUAUAUAGGUGGAAGAAGUACGUCAGGGGGGCCACGAGGGUGGAGGGUGCGCCCUAGGGGGGUGGGCGCGCCCCCUAUCUCGUGGCCUCCUCGAAGCUUCCCUUACGUGCACUUCAAGUCUUCUGGGCUUCUUUCCUUCCAAAAACGAGUUCCGUGAAGUUUCAGGUCAAUUGGCUCCGUUUGAUUUUCCUUUUCUUCGAAACCCUAAAACAAGGUAAAAACAGAAACUGGCACUAGGCUCUGGGUUAAUAGGUUAGUCCCAAAAAUGAUAUAAAAGUGUAUAAUAAAGCCCAUAAACAUCCAAAACAGUAGAUAAUAUAGCAUGGAGCAAUCAAAAAUUAUAGAUACGUUGGAGACGUAUCAGCAUCCCCAAGCUUAAUUCAUGCUCGUCCUCGAGUAGGUAAAUGAUAAAAACAGAAUUUUUGAUGCGGAGUGCUACUUGGCAUAAUUUCAAUGUAAUUCUUCUUAAUUGUGGCAUGAAUAUUCAAAUCCAAAAGAUUCAAGAUAAAAGUUCAUAUUGACAUAAAAAUAAUAAUACUUCAAGCAUACUAACUAAGCAAUCAUGUCUUCUCAAAAUAACAUGGCCAAAGAAAGCUAUCCCUACAAAAUCAUAUAGUCUGGCUAUGCUCCAUAUUCACCACACAAAAUUUUUAAAUCAUGCACAACCCCGAUGACAAGCCAAGCAAUUGUUUCAUACUUUUGAUGUUCUCAAACUUUUUCAAUCUUCACGCAAUACAUGAGCGUGAGCCAUGGACAUAGCACUAUAGGUGGAAUAGAAUGGUGGUUGUGGAGAAGACAAAAAGGGAGAAGAUAGUCUCACAUCAACUAGGCGUAUCAACGGGCUAUGGAGAUGCCCAUCAAUAGAUAUCAAUGUAAGUGAGUAGGGAUUGCCAUGCAACGGAUGCACUAGAGCUAUAAGUAUAUGAAAGCUCAAAAACGAAACUAAGUGGGUGUGCAUCCAACUUGCUUGCUCAUGAAGACCUAGGGAAUUUUGAGGAAGCCCAUCAUUGGAAUAUACAAGCCAAGUUCUAUAAUGAAAGAUUCCCACUAGUAAAUGAAAGUGACAACAUAGGAGACUCUCUAUCAUGAAGAUCAUGGUGCUACUUUGAAGCACAAGUGUGGUAAAAGGAUAGUAACAUUGUCCCUUCUCUCUUUUUCUCUCAUUUUUCUUUUCUUUUUCUUUCUUUUUUUAUUUGGGCCUCUUUUCUUUUUCUCUUUUUUUAUUUUUCGUCCGGAGUCUCAUCCCGACUUGUGGGGGAAUCAUAGUCUCCAUCAUCCUUUCCUCACUGGGACAAUGCUCUAAUAAUGAUGAUCAUCACACUUUUAUUUUUCUUACAACUCAAGAAUUACAACUCGAUACUUAGAACAAGGUAUGACUCUAUAUGAAUGCCUUCGGCGGUGUACUGGGAUGUGCAAUGAUGCAUGAGUGACAUGUAUGAAAUAAUUAUGAAUGGUGGCUUUGCCACAAAUACAAUGUCAAUUACAUGAUCAUGCAAAGUAGUAUGACAAUGAUGGAGCGUGUCAUAAUAAGCGGAACGGUGGAAAGUUGCAUGGUAGUAUAUCUCGGAAUGGCUAUGGAAAUGCCAUAAUAGGUAGGUAUGGUGGCUAUUUUGAGGAAGGUAUAUGGUGGGUUUAUGGUACCGGCGAAAGUUGCGCGGUACUAGAGAGGCUAGCAAUGGUGGAAGGGUGAGAGUGUGUAUAAUCCAUGGACUCAACAUUAGUCAUAAAGAACUCACAUACUUAUUGCAAAAAUCUAUUAGUUAUCGAAACAAAGUACUACACGCAUGCUCCUAGGGGGAUAGAUUGGUAGGAAAAGACCAUCGCUCGUCCCCGACCGCCACUCAUAAGGAGGACAAUCAAUAAAUAAAUCAUGCUCCCACUUCAUCACAUAACGGUUCACCAUACGUGCAUGCUACGGGAAUCACAAAUUUCAACACAAGUAUUUCUCAAAUUCACAAUUAUUCAACUAGCAUGACUCUAAUAUCACCAUCUCCAUAUCUCAAAACAAUCAUCAAGCAUCAAACUUCUCUUAGUAUUCAAUACUCUAUAUGAAAGUUUUUACUAUUCUUGGAUGCCUAGCAUAUUAGGAUUAUUUAAGCAAAUUACCAUGCUAUUUAAAACUCUCAAAAUGAUAUAAGUAAAGCAUGAGAGUUCAUAUAUUUCUAUAAUACCACCACCGUGCUCUAAAAAGAUAUAAGUGAAGCACUCGAGCAAACGACAAACUACUUCGAAAGAUAUAAGUGAAGAUCAAUGAGUAGUCGAAUAAUUAUGCAACUAUGUGAAGACUCUCUAACAUUUAAGAUUUUUCAGAUCUUGGUACUUUAUUCAAACAGCAAGCAAAACAAAAUAAAAUUACAUCUAAGAAUAGCAAACAUCAUGUGAAGAAGCAAAAACUUAGGAUCAACCGAUACUAACCGAUAGUUGUUGAAGAAGAAAGGUGGGAUGCCAACCGGGGCAUACCCAAGCUUAGACGCUUGAGACUUCUUGAAAUAUUAUCUUGGGGUGCCUUGGGAAUCCCCAAGAUUGAGCUUUUGUGUCUCCUUAAUUCCUCUAAUAUUACGCUCUCCCUAAAUCUCAAAAGCUUCAUCCACACAAAACUCAACAAGGACUCGUGAGAUAAGUUAGUAUAAACCAUUGCAAAAACCUUAUCAUACUCUAGUGUAGCAAAUCACUACAAUUAUUAUUCAACAUUGCAUACUAAAUUCCUCUGCAUAUUUAAUAGUCCUAUCCUCAAAUAGAAUCAUUAAAGAAGCAAACAUAUGCAAACAUAACAACAAUCUGCCUAAACAGGACAGUCUGUAAAGAGUACAGCAAGAUCCAUACUUCCCUAGCUCCAAAAAUUAUGGAAGAAAAUUCCCACUGUAAUAAAUUUAUCAGAGCUUAAUAUGAAAAAGGUUUCAACUUUUAUCACAUUCUGACUUUUCUAGGGAAUUAUUGCAACAGCGGUAAACUUUCUGUUUUCAAACAGCAACAUGUGGACUUCUAAAAUAGGCAUAGUAAAGGUUAUCAAUGCCACUUUUAUUGAAAUAAAAGAUGCAAAACAUUGUUCUUAAUAACAUCAAGCAAAUCUUAACAAAAUAAAUUGACGCUCCAAGUAAAAAACAUAUCAUGUGGUGAAUAAAAAUAUAGCUCUAAGUAAAGUUACCGAUGAACGAAGACGAAAGAGGGGAUGCCUUCCGGGGCAUCCCCAAGCUUAGGCUCUUGGUCAUCCUUAAAUAUUACCUUGGGGUGCCUUGGGAAUCCCCAAGAUUAGUCUCUUGCCACUCCUUAUUCCAUAGUCCAUCAAAUCCUUACCCAAAACUUGAAAACUUCACAACACAAAACUUAACAGAAAACUCGUAAGCUCCGUUAGUAUAAGAAAAUAAAUCACCACUUCAAGGUACUGUAAUGAACUCAUUAUUUAUUUAUAUUGGUGUUAAAAAUACUGUAUUCCAACUUCUCUAUGGUUUAUAAACUCUUUUACUAGCCAUAAAUUCAUCAAAAUAAGUAAACAACACAUGAAAAACAGAAUCUGUCAAAAACAGAACAGUCUGUAGUAAUCUGGAUCAAACGUAUACUUAUGGAACUCAUAAAAUUCUAAAAUAAAUGUAUGGACCUGAGGAAUUUAUCUAUUAAUCAUCUGCAAAAAUAAUUAACUAAAUAGAACUUUCCAAAUAAAAAUGGCAGCAAUUCUCGUGAGCGCUAAAGUUUCUGUUUUUUACAGCAUGAUCAACAAGACUUUCCCCAAGUCUUCCCAAAGGUUCUACUUGGCACAAACACUAAUUAAAAGCAUAAAACCACAUCUAAACAAAGUCUAGAUAAACUAUUUAUUACUAAACAGGAACAAAAAGCAAGGAACUAAUAUAAAAUUGGGUUGCCUCCCAACAAGCGCUAUCGUUUAAUGCCCCUAGCUAGGCAUGAUAAUGACAAUGAUGCUCACAUAAAGGAUAAGAAUUGAAACAUAAAGAGAGCAUUAUGAAUAAUAUGACUAGCACAUUUAAGCCUAAACCACUUACUAUGCGUAGCGAUUUUGUGAGCAAACAACUUGUGGGAACAAUAAUCAACUAGUAUAGGAGGGCAAAACAAGCAUAACUUCAAAACUUUAAGCACAUAGGGAGGAAACUUGAUAUUAUUGCAAUUCCUACAAGCAUAUAUUCCUCCCUCAUAAUAAUUUUCAGUAGCAUCAUGAAUGAAUUCAACAAUAUAACCAGCACCUAAAGCAUUCUUUUCAUGAUCUUCAAGCAUAUAAAUUUUAUUACUCUCCACACAAGCAAAAUUCUUCUCAUGAAUAAUAGUGGGAGCAAACUCAACAAAGUAACUAUCAUGGGAUUGAAAAUUGAAAUCAAGAAGACAAGUUUCAUCAUUAUUCUUUAAAGCAUAUGUGUCAUCACAAUAAUCAUCAUAGAUAGGACGCAUGCUUUCAUCAUAAUAAAUUUGCUCAUCAAAACUUGGGGGACAAAAAAUAUCAUCUUCAUCAAACAUAGCUUCCCCAAGCUUGUGGCUUUGCAUAUCAUUAGCAUCAUGGAUAUUCAAGGAAUUCAUACUAACAACAUUGCAAUCAUGCUCAUCAUUCAAAUAUUUAGUGCCAAACAUUCUAAUGCAUUCUUCUUCUAGCACUUGAGCACAAUUAUCGGAAUCCUUAUUCUCACGAAAGACAUUAAAAAGAUGAAGCAUAUGAGGUAACCUUAAUUCCAUUUUUUUGUAAUUUUAUUUUAUAAACUAAACUAGUGAUAAAACAAGAAACUAAAAGACUCGAUUGCAAGAUCUAAAGAUAUACCUUCAAGCGCUAACCUCCCCGGCAAUGGCGCCAGAAAAGAGCUUGAUGUCUACUACACAACCUUCUUCUUGUAGACGUUGUUGGGCCUCCAAGUGCAGAGGUUUGUAGGACAGUAGCAAAUUUCCCUCAAGUAGAUGACCUAAGAUUUAUCAAUCCGUAGGAGGCGUAUGAUGAAGAUGGUCUCUCUCAAACAACCCUGCAACCAAAUAACAAAGAGUCUCUUGUGUCCUUAACACACCCAAUACAGUGGUAAAUUGUAUAGGUGCACUAGUUCGGCGAAGAGAUGGUGAUACAAGUGCAAUAUGGAUAGUAGAUAUGGGUAUUUGUAAUCUGAAAAUAUAAAAUCAGCAAGGUAGCAAGUGAUAAAAGUGAGCAUAAACGGUAUUGCAAUGAUAGGAAAUAAGGCCUAGGGUUCAUACUUUCACUAGUGCAAGUUCCCUCAACAAUAAUAGCAUAAUUGGAUCACAUAACUAUCCCUCAACAUGCAACAAAGAGUCACUCCAAAGCCACUAAUAGCGGAGAACAAACGAAGAGAUUAUGCUAGGGUACGAAACUGCUACCUCUUUUAGCACUGCGUUGGUUUUCCCCGAAGAGGAAGGGAUGAUGCAGCAAAGUAGCGUAAGUAUUUCCCUCAGUUUUUGAGAACCAAGGAUCAAUCCAGUAGGAGGCUACGCGCGAGUCCCUCGUACCUGCACAAAACAAAUAAAUCCUCGCAACCAACGCAAAUAGGGGUUGUCAAUCCCUAUAGGGCCACUUACGAGAGUGAGAUCUGAUAGAUAUGAUAAAAUAAUAUUUUUGUUAUUUUUAUGAUAAAGAUGCAAAGUAAAAAUAAAGGCAAAGUAAAUAACUAAGUGGUAGGAGAUUGAUAUGAUAAAGAUAGACCCCGGGGCCAUAGGUUUCACUAGUGGCUUCUCUCGAGAGUAUAUGUAUUCUGCGGUGGGUGAACAAAUUACUAUUGAGCAAUUGACAGAAUUGAGCAUAGUUAUGAGAAUAUCUAGGUAUGAUCAUGUAUAUAGGCAUCACGUCCGAGACAAGUAGACCGAUUCCUGCCUGCAUCUACUACUAUUACUCCACUCAUCGACCGCUAUCCAGCAUGCAUCUAGAGUAUUAAGUUAAAAACAGAGUAACGCCUUAAGCAAGAUGACAUGAUGUAGAGGGAUAGACUCAUGCAAUAUGAAGAAAACCCCAUCUUGUUAUCCUCGAUGGCAACAAUACAAUACGUGCCUUGCUGCCCUUACUGUUACCGGGAAAGGACACCGCAAGAUUGAACCCAAAGCUAAGCACUUCUCCCAUUGCAAGAAAGAUCAAUCUAGUAGGCCAAACCAAACUGAUAAUUCAAAAAGACUUGCAAAGAUAACCAAUCAUACAUAAAAGAAUUCAGAGAAUAUUCAAAUAUUAUUCAUAGAUAGACUUGAUCAUAAACCCACAAUUCAUCGGUCUCAACAAACACACCGCAAAAAGAAGAUUACAUCGAAUAGAUAUCCACAAGAGAGGGGGAGAACAUUGUAUUGAGAUCCAAAAAGAGAGAAGAUGCCAUCUAGCUACUAACUAUGGACCCGUAGGUCUGAAGUAAACUACUCACACUUCAUCGGAGAGGCCAUGAUGCUGAUGUAGAAGCCCUUCGUGAUCGAUGCCCCCUCUGGCGGAGCUCCGGAACAGGCCCCAAGAUGGGAUCUCGUGGAUACAGAAAGUUACGGCGGUGGAAUUAGGGUUUUGACUCCGUAUCUGAUCGUUUGGGGGUACGUGGGUAUAUAUAGGAGGAAGAAGUACGUCGAUGGAGCAACAGGGGGCCCACGAGGGUGGAGGGCGCACCUGGGAGGGCAGGCACGCCCCCUACCUCGUGGCCUCCUGUUAGUUGGCUUGAUGUAGCGUCCAAGUCUCUUGAGUUGUAUUCGGUGAGAAAAUCACGUUCCCGAAGGUUUCAUUCCGUUUGGACUCCGUUUGAUAUUCCUUUUAUUCGAAACCCUAAAACAGGCAAAAAAACAACAAUUCUAGGCUGGGCCUCCGGUUAAUUGGUUAGUCCCAAAAAUAAUAUAAAAGUAGAUAAUAAAGCCCAAUAAUGUCCAAAAUAGUAGAUAAUAUAGCAUGGAGCAAUCAAAAAUUAUAGAUACGUUGGAGAUGUUAUCAAGCAUCCCCAAGCUUAAUUCCUGCUCGUCCUCGAGUAGGUAAAUGAUAAAAACAAAAUUUUUGAUGUGGAAUGCUACUUGGCAUAAUUUUUAUUUAAUUCUUCUUAAUUGUGGUAUGAAUAUUCAGAUCUGAAACAUUCAAGACAAAAGUUUAUAUUGACAUAGAAAAUAAUAAUACUUCAAGCAUACUAACAAAGCAAUUAUGUCUUCUCAAAAUAACAUGGCUAAAGAAAGUUAUCCCUACAAAAUCAUAUAGUCUCGCUAUGCUCUAUCUUCACCACACAAAGUAUUUAAAUCAUGCACAACUCCGAUGACAAGCCAAGCAAUUGUUUCAUACUUUUGACAUUCUCAAACUUUUUCAAUCUUCACGCAAUACAUGAGUGUGAGCCAUGGAUAUAACACUAUAGGUGGAAUAGAGUGGUGGUUGUGGAGAAGACAAAAAGGGGAAGAUAGUCUCACAUCAACUAGGCAUAUCUACGGGCUAUGGAGAUGCCCAUCAAUAGAUAUUAAUGUGAGUGAGUAGGGAUUGCCAUGCAACAGAUGGACUAGAGCUAUAAGUAUAUGAAAGCUCAAAAAGGAAACUAAGUGGGUGUGCAUCCAACUUGCUUGCUCAUGAAGACCUAGGGCAAUUUUGAGGAAGCCCAUCAUUGGAAUAUACAAGCUAAGUUCUAUAAUGAAAAAUUCCCACUAGUAUAUGAAAGUGAUAACAUGAGAGACUCUCUACUAUGAAGAUCAUGGUGCUACUUUGAAGCACAAGUGUGGUAAAAGGAUAGUAACAUUGUCCCUUCUCUCUUUUUCUCUCAUUUUUUUAAUUUUUAUUUGGGCCUUUUCUCUUCUUCUUUUUACGGCCUCUUUUCUUUCUCUUUUUUUAUUUGGGCUUCUUUGGCCUCUCUUAUUUAUUUUUCGUCCGGAGUCUCAUCCUGACUUGUGGGGGAAUCAUAGUCUCCAUCAUCCUUUCCUCACUGGGACAAUGCUCUAAUAAUGAUGAUCAUCACACUUUUAUUUUUCUUACAACUCAACAAUUACAACUCAAUACUUAGAACAAAAUAUGACUCUAUAUGAAUGCCUCCGGAGGUGUACCGGGAUAUGCAAUGAUGCAUGAGUGACAAGUAUGAAAGAAUUAUGAAUGGUGGCCUUGCCACAAAUACUAUGUCAACUACAUGAUCAUGCUAAGCAAUAUGACAAUGAUGGAGUGUGUCAUAACGGAAUGAUGGAAAGUUGCAUGGCAAUAUAUCUCGGAAUGGCUAUGGAAAUGCCAUAAUAGGUAGGUAUGGUGGCUGUUUUGAGGAAGGAUAUGGUGGGUGUAUGAUACCGGCGCAAGGUGCGCGGUAUUAGAGAGGCUAGCAAGGGUGGAAGGGUGAGAGUGCGUAUAAUCCAUGGACUCAACAUUAGUCAUAAAGAACUCAUAUACUUAUUGCAAAAAUCUACAAGUUAUCAAAGCAAAGUAUUAUGCGCAUGCUCCUAGGGGGAUAGAUUGGUAGGAAAAGACCAUCGCUCAUCCCCGACCGCCACUCAUAAGGAAGACAAUCAAUAAAUAAAUCAUGCUCCGACUUCAUCACAUAACGGUUCACCAUACGUGCAUUCUUCGGGAAUCACAAGCUUCAACACAAGUAUUUCUCAAAUUCACAACUACUCAACUAGCAUGACUUUAAUAUCACCAUCUCCAUAUCUCAAAACAAUUAUCAAGUAUCAAACUUAUCAUAGUAUUCAACACACUCAUAAGAAAAUUUUAUUAUUAAUCUUGCAUACCAAGCAUAGUAGGAUUUUAAGCAAAUUACCAUGCUAUUAAGACUCUCAAAAUAAUCUAAGUGAAGCAUGAGAGAUCAAUAGUUUCUAUAAAACAAAUCCACCAUCGUGCUCUAAGAGAUAUAAGUGAAGCACAUAGAGUAUUCUAACAAAUUCCAAAUCAUGUAUGGCUCUCUCAAAAGGUGUGUACAGCAAGGAUGAUUGUGGUAAACUAAUAAGCAAAGACUCAAAUCAUACAAGACGCUCCAAGUAAAACACAUAUCAUGUGGUAAAUAAAAAUAUAGCUCCAAGUAAAGUUACCGAUAGAAGUAGACGAAAGAGGGAAUGCCUUCAGGGGCAUCCCCAAACUUUGGCUUUUAAGUGUCCUUAGAUUAUAUUGGGGGUGACAUGGGCAUCCCCAAGCUUAGGCUCUUGCCACUCCUUGUUCCAUAAUCCAUCAAAUCUUUACCCAAAACUUGAAAACUUCACAACACAAAACUUAAAGUAGAAAAUCUCGUGAGCUCCGUUAGCGAAAGAAAACAAAAGAACACUUCAAGGUACUGUAAUGAACUCAUUCUUUAUUUAUAGGGGUGUUGUACCUACUGUAUUCCAACUUCUGCAUGGUUUAUAAACUAAUUUACUAGCCAUAGAUUCAUCAAAAUAAGCAAACAACACACGCAAAACAGAAUCUGUCAAAAACAGAACAGUCUGUAGUAAUCUGUAGCUAGCGCAAGAUAUGGAACCCCCAAAAUUCUAAAAUAACUUUCUGGACGUGAGGAAUUUAUCUAUUAAUCAUCUUCAAAAAGAAUUAACAAAAUAGCACUUUCCAAAUAAAAAUGACAGCAGUUCUCGUGAGCGCUAAAGUUUCUGGCUUUUACAGCAAGUUCAACAGGACUUUCCCCAAGUCUUCCCAACGGUUCUACUUCGCACAAACACUAAUUAAACACAAAAGACACAACCAAAACAGAGGCUAGAUAAUUUAUUUAUUACUAAACAGGGGCAAAAAGCAAGGAAUAAAAAUAAAAUUGGGUUGCCUCCCAACAAGCGCUAUCGUUUAACGCCCCUAGCUAGGCAUAACAAGCAAGAAUAGAUCUAGGUAUUGCCAUAAUAAUAAGAUAGAUUGUUAAAACUCAUUUCAUAUUCUCUAUGUUCAGAAGCAAGUUUUCUUUGAGGCAAGCAAAAGUAAUCAAAAGGGCUAAAGUUUUUGGGACAAAAGUCUCCAAGAUCAACCUUGGGAGGUAUAGGUUCCUCCUUUGGUCCUUCAUAUUGCACAACCAAUUCAUCAUUAUAAGCAUUCUUUUGACAGAACUUUGUGAUCCUAUAUUCAAGAGAAUAUCCCAAUUCAUUAUCUCGAAUAGCCAAAUCAUCAUUAAGUUCAGAAAUUCUAUCAACUAAAACAUCGGUAGGAACUCUUUUUCUAAGAUUUUCAUUGAAAGCAACAUAGUCUAAAGAUUGAAAAUGCAUUAUUUCUUCUUGAUCAAAGAGGAUAGUCUCUAUGGGAGGACGGCAGCGUCCAUCCUAUAAUGCACAAAGAUUUCUUUGGCCUCUUUUAUUAUGAAUCGAAACUCAUGAGCCAAAAAGAUAGUAACGGCACGCUAAAUAGAAGAAUGCUCAAUAUUAGAAAAUUCUAGGACAAUCCUUUGUAUAGAAGGAUGCAUGUGCAUGAAUUGUCUCUCAAGUUCAACUACAAGCAUGGCAAUAGCGUCCGCAAGACUACUAGUUCUAUGAAGAAUAGAACUACCCAUAGAAGGUAAAGCACCGGCACAAGUAAAGAAAUCUUGAAUAACUCAUUUUCCAAUAAUAUUACCACUACCAACAUGGAAUCUUUUUAUAUGUGAGAUAAUGGGUUCUUUAGUAGGAGCAUCAAAAUUAUUAUUGACAAUAGUAUCCCCAAUGUUAGAAAUAGAGGCAGAGGGUAAAUGACUAGCCAUAACGAUAAGCAAGCAAACUAACACACAAGCAAACAAAAAGCAAGCGGACAAAAAGGGGCAAAUAGAGAAAGAGAGGGAGGAUAGAGAGAGAGGGCGAAUAAAACGGCAAGGGUGAAUUCGGGGGAGAGGAAAAAGAGAGGCAAAUGGCAAAUAAUGUAAUGCGGGAGAUAAGGGUAUGUGAUGGGCACUUGGUAUGUUGACUUUUGCGUAGACUUGCCCGGCAACAGCGCCAGAAAUCCUUCUUGCUACCUCUUUUAGCACUGCGUUGGUUUUCCCCGAAGAGGAAGGGAUGAUGCAGCAAAGUAGAGUAAGUAUUUCCCUCAGUUUUGAGAUCCAAGGUAUCAAUCCAGUACGAGGCUACGCGCGAGUCCCUCGUACCUGCACAAAACAAAUAAAUCCUCACAACCAAUGCGAAUAGGGGUUGUCAAUCCCUACACGGCCACUUACGAGAGUGAGAUCUGAUAGAUAUGAUAAGAUAAUAUUUUUGCUAUUUUUGUGAUGAAGAUGCAAAGUAAAACAAAGGAAAAGUAAAGAGCAAAGGAAAUAACUAACUAGUAGGAGAUUAAUAUGAUGAAGAUAGACCCGGGGGCCAUAGGUUUCACUAGUGGCUUCUCUCGAGAGCAUAGGUAUUCUACGGUGGGUGAACAAAUUACCGUUGAGCAAUUGACAGAAUUGAGCAUAGUUAUGAGAAUAUCUAGGUAUGAUCAUGUAUAUAGGCAUCACGUCCGAGACAAGUAGACCGACUCCUGCCUGCAUCUACUACUAUUACUCCACUCAUCGACCGCUAUCCAGCAUGCAUCUAGAGUAUUAAGUUAAAAACAGAGUAACGCCUUAAGCAAGAUGACAUGAUGUAGAGGGAUAGGCUCAUGCAAUAUGAAGAAAACCCCAUCUUGUUAUCCUCGAUGGCAACAAUACAAUACGUGCCUUGCUGACCUUACUGUCACCGGGAAAGGACACCGCAAGAUUGAACCCAAAGCUAAGCACUUCUCCCAUUGCAAGAAAGAUCAAUCUAGUAGGCCAAACCAAACUGAUAAUUCGAAGAGACUUGCAAAGAUAACCAAUCAUACAUAAAAGAAUUCAGAGAAGAUUCAAAUAUUAUUCAUAGAUAGACUUGAUCAUAAACCCACAAUUCAUCGGUCUCAACAAACACACCGCAAAAAGAAGAUUACAUCGAAUAGAUAUCCACAAGAGAGGGGGAGAACAUUGUAUUGAGAUCCAAAAAGAGAGAAGAUGCCAUCUAGCUACUAACUAUGGACCCAUAGGUCUGAAGUAAACUACUCACACUUCAUCGGAGAGGCUAUGGUGCUGAUGUAGAAGCCCUCCGUGAUCGAUGCCCCCUCCGGCGGAGCUCCGGAACAGGCCCCAAGAUGGGAUCUCGUGGAUACAGAAAGUUAUGGUGGUGGAAUUAGGGUUUUGGCUCCGUAUCUGAUCGUUUGGGGGUACGUGGGUAUAUAUAGGAGGAAGAAGUACGUCGGUGGAGCAACAGGGGGCCCACGAGGGUGGAGGGCACGCCUGGGGGGGCAGGCGCGCCCCCUACCUCGUGGCCUCCUGUUAGUUGGCUUGACGUAGGGUCCAAGUCUCCUGAGUUGUAUUCAGUGAGAAAAUCACGUUCCCGAAGGUUUCAUUCCGUUUGGACUCCGUUUGAUAUUCCUUUUAUUCGAAACCCUAAAACAGGCAAAAAAACAACAAUUCUGGGCUGGGCCUCCGGUAAAUAGGUUAGUCCCAAAAAUAAUAUAAAAGUGGAUAAUAAAGCCCAACAAUGUCCAAAACAGUAGAUAAUAUAGCAUGGAGCAAUAAAAAAUUAUAGAUACGUUGGAGACGUAUCCGAAACCACCUCAAAGUUAUUGUUUCCAAUCAAUCCGUUGGGCUAUUCCUAUAAGUGUCACAAACAGCCCUAGAGUUCAUACUAGAAUAACACCUUAAGACACAAAUCAACCAAAACCCUAAUGUCACCUAGAUACUCCAAUGUCACCUCAAGUAUCCGUGGGUAUGAUUAUGCGAUAUGCGUCACACAAUCUCAGAUUCAUCUAUUCAAACCAACACAAAGGACCUCAAAGAGUGCCCCAAAGUUUCUACCGGAGAAUCACGACGAAAACGUGUGCCAACCCCUAUGCAUAGCUUCAUGGGCGGAACCCGCAAGUGAUUACCAAAACAUACAUCAAGUGAAUCAUGUGGUAUCCCAUUCUCACCACAGAUAUGCACGGCAAGACAUACAUCAAGUGUUCUCAAAUCUUUAAAGACUCAAUCCGAUAAGAUUACUUCAAAGGGGAAACUCAAUCCAAUACAAGAGAGUAGAGGGGGAGGAGAAACAUAAAAUCCAACUAUAAUAGCAAAGCUCGCGAUACAUCAAGAUCGUACCACCUCAAGAACACGAGAGAGAGAGAGAUCAAACACAUAGCUACUGUACAUACCCUCAACCCCGAGGGAGAACUACUCCCUCCUCGUCAUGGAGAGCACCGGGAUGAUGAAGAUGGCCACCGGAGAGGGAUUUCCCCCUCCAACAGGGUGCCGGAACGGGUCUAGAUUGGUUUUCGGUGGCUACGGAGGCUUCUGGCGGCGGAACUCCCGAUCUAUUGUGCUCUCUGGAAGUUUUAGGGUAUAUGGAGAUAUAUAGGCGGAAGAAGUACGUCAGGGGGGCCACGAGGGGCCCACGAGGGUGGAGGGCACGCCCUAGGGGGGUGGACGCGCCCCCUACCUCGUGGCCUCCUCGAAGCUUCCCUUACGUGCACUUCAAGUCUUCUGGGCUUCUUUCCUUCCAAAAAUAAGUUCCGUGAAGCUUCAGGUCAAUUGGACUCCGUUCGAUUUUGCUUUUCUUCGAAACCCUAAACAAGGUAAAAACAGAAACUGGCACUGGGCUCUGGGUUAAUAGGUUAGUCCCAAAAAUGAUAUAAAAGUGUAUAAUAAAGCCUAUAAACAUCCAAAACAGUAGAUAAUAUAGCAUGGAGCAAUCAAAAAUUAUAGAUACGUUGGAGACAUAUCAUGUACCUGCUCCCUUAUUGGAAAGUAGUUCUGUAACAUCCCAAAUUUUCAAUUUGGAAUGUUCUACACCAGAUCAUCAUUGCAUAUCAUAUUUAUUGCAUUUUGGUUGAUCCUAGAAAUUUUUCGCAACUCAAGGACCCUCGAAGAGAGUUGGGGAUUUCGUUAUUUUCAUAUUUGAGUUGUCUCAAAUUUUGAAAAUAGGAUCUUUUGAUUUUAUUUAUUUUAUCUUCAAUUAUUUCUAUUACAAAAAUAUGAGAGAGGGAAUAAAAUGACUUUCCCAAAAUAAAGAAAUAUUGAGGAUUUAAUAAAAAAAUCAUUUAAGGUUUUAUUUGGUUUUAUUUGAAUUUAGGAAAAAUGCACAUUUUUCAAAAUUGCAUUUAGGCCCCAAAUAAAUGUUCAUCCUGUGCGGCUUGAUUUUAGAAGCCGGAGAAAACUUAUUUCGGGAUUUUUGGAGUCCGUUUAGUAGUCCUUUUGUUUUUUUCCGAGCGUAAGUAUUUAAAAAAACGUCUGAACCGACCUACUGGCCGUGCUAGGCCCGGACUCCUCCAGGCCUCAGCCUUUAUAAACCGUCUGCCCACCCCGGGCCGAAACCCUAGCCGCCGCCCGCCUCGAGCCCCGCGCCUGCACCGCCGCCGCCUUUCGCCGCCGCACCCGACGCCGCCGCCGCCGCGCCCGACGCCGCCCCGCGCCCUCGCCGCCGCCUCCCAGCCGGACCCCCCCGCCGCCGCCUNNNNNNNNNNNNNNNNNNNNNNNNNNNNNNNNNNNNNNNNNNNNNNNNNNNNNNNNNNNNNNNNNNNNNNNNNNNNNNNNNNNNNNNNNNNNNNNNNNNNNNNNNNNNNNNNNNNNNNNNNNNNNNNNNNNNNNNNNNNNNNNNNNNNNNNNNNNNNNNNNNNNNNNNNNNNNNNNNNNNNNNNNNNNNNNNNNNNNNNNNNNNNNNNNNNNNNNNNNNNNNNNNNNNNNNNNNNNNNNNNNNNNNNNNNNNNNNNNNNNNNNNNNNNNNNNNNNNNNNNNNNNNNNNNNNNNNNNNNNNNNNNNNNNNNNNNNNNNNNNNNNNNNNNNNNNNNNNNNNNNNNNNNNNNNNNNNNNNNNNNNNNNNNNNNNNNNNNNNNNNNNNNNNNNNNNNNNNNNNNNNNNNNNNNNNNNNNNNNNNNNNNNNNCCGCCGAGUCGCCGAGGUUGACCCGCCGGUUUUCAUUCGGUUUUCGCCGGUUUUGUUCGGUUUUUUUAGUUUCGUUUUUUUUCUUUAGAUCGGUUUUUUCGGUUUAGGCUAAUUAGCGAGCGUUCGCUCGUUCGUUCAUUUUAACGAACGCGUUCUUCGUUUAGACUCAGUUAACGAACGUUUGUUUGUUAAACUAUUCAUCAUUUUUCUUUUUCUCGGAUUAAAUCCGCGAUUUUUCUGAUCGUGAUUUCUGAUCCGAUUUUCGUUUUAGUCUAACUUUUCACUCGUUUAUCACAAUCAGGCGAUUCAAGCGCCUGAAGUUUCAUUUCGAAACCCUCUUUCCGUUUAACCAACUUAAACAAGUUUUUGCCACUAUAAAAAUAGUAAAUGAAGCCUGUUUCUUUUGCCUUUUGUCUUUCGUUGCUUCGUUUGAUUUGACUCUUUUGCCAACCAGAGUUGUUAAGUUGAACUUUCUAGUUAAAUCUCUUAUUUGAGUUUUACCUGUGCAUUAGUUGAGUACUUAUUGUAUGCUUGUUUGUUUGUGAUAGAGUACCCGGAGUGCGCCGCUUGCUACUUCGAAUCGCUAGGUUUCCCGGACCAUCAACAAGGCAAGUAAGACUUUGAUCAUACCUCCUACUACCUAGUUUUAUUGCAUUAGAUCAAUCCUUACACAUUGCAUGAUUAGGAUCUAAUUAAAUUGUGGGUUUGGGAAGUAGUUGAGGUAGGACCUAUUACCUGUUUAUUAUCAAACCUUUGGGAGUUACUUCUAUGUUUGCUUAUUAUGCCAUGCUAUGCUAGUAGACGUGGAUUGGGUGAGUGUAUCCAUGACAGAUGUGAGAUUGUUAAUUAAUGGUUUAUUUAAGGUGGCAAUUUAAACACACAUCUGGGUGGAUUGAGGUACCUGGGUAUUCCAGGAUUGCCUGUUUUUCUUUAUGGACCGCCACCCGGGCUCAAAGGGAUCAUGAGAUUAUUCAUGCUAGAAAAUUCCGUGUGCAGCCACAAGCUAUUAUGGGCUCUAGCAUAGUUGACUAAGUCGUGCAAACUCUUACAGUGGUAGACUAGCAGAUGUAGGGGAUGUAGGUGGUACGGUCUACCCAUCGUAAGGUGCUAGCACUUCUGAAAGACUAUGUCUCGGUCAUCCAUUUCUCAAACACCAUGUAGUGCGAGAAAUCCAGCGGAGGAGAUCGAGUCUUGUGGGGAAAAGUGCGCAAACCUCUGCAGAGUGUAUAAACUAAUCAUGGUUAGCCGUGUCCCCGGUUAUGGACAUCUUGAGUAUCUAGUACCUGGAUUAUCAUGUGAAUCUCAACAUGUUACUAUAAAAUUAAUUUUGAUGGGUUUGUUUAAUGAUGAUGCUUAAUUGGGAUUGAGAAUGCUGUCAACCAUUCUCAAUGUUUAACAACCACCAUGAUAGUUAAAUAAAUUCAUUCCUUUGCAGUAGGGAAAAAUUGGCUUUACGCAAAACUGUAACCAUAGAGCUUUCCACCAGCCAAAUAUGCAUAUAGAAUAGCUGUUUCAUUCCAUUACUCUCUAUGUGUUACAUUGCCAGCAUAUUCCAUGUGCUGACCCGUUUUGGGCUGCAACGUUAAUGUUGCAGACUUUUCAGAUGAUGAUUAAGGAGUUUUAGUUCGUGGUUCUAUACUCAGUGAUGCCGUUGGAGUUGAUGGACUCACUUAUCUUCCAAGCCUUCCGCUGUUAUCGUUAGUAGAUGGCCUUAAGCCAUAUUUAUUGUAAUAAGUUCUCUAUUGAGACACUCGAUGUAAUAAGUGUGUGAUUGCUACUCUAUUAUAAAUCCUUCAAGUACUAUGUGGUGUCAGCAUUAUUGAUCCAGGGAUGACACCGGAGCACAGAGAUUGGACCGUUUGAGGUCUGGUCGCUACAAGAUGGUAUUAGAGCACACGCUGACUGUAGGACACGACCACUAAGCUAAAGACCUAGAUCACUACUCACUCUCUUCUCUUUCUAACUCCUCAUCUUUUCUACUCUUUUAGGAUGGCGGAUGCAAGGAACAAGUUCACUCAACCGGAUUGAAAGUGCGUUAUAUCGACUAGAGGGGGGGUGAAUAGGCGAUUUUUAUGGAAGUCUUCAAAAUGUGAGAGUUAUGAAGACAAACAGCGAAGAUUAUGCCUAUUACUAUGCAGCGGAAGUUAGAUUACACUAUGCCAGCCAUGGUCAUGUAUUCAAUAGAGUGAAAGCAUAAUAACAAACAGCUGCAGUGUAAUACGGAUCAGGUAGGAAGAAGUUAUGAAGCCAAACAUAUCAUACAUUCACGUUGUGAAGACAAAAGAUAAAGCAAGCAUGCAAUGGCUUCACAAUGAGUAACAGUAAGAAAAGGAAGUGAAGAUGAAACCAGUGACUCGUUGAAGACAAUGAUAUGUUGGACCAGUUCCAGUUGCUGUGACAACUGUACGUCUGGUUGGAGCGGCUAGGUAUUUAAACCUUAGGACACACAGUCCUGGACACCCAGUCCUGAACACACAGUUCAGGACACCAAGUCCUCACCGUAUUCUCCUUGAGCUAACGUCACUUAGUCCUCGCCCAAUCACUCUGGUAAGUCUUCAAGGUAGACUCCCAAACCUUCACAAACUUCGUUCACUGGCGAUCCACAAUGUCUCUUGGAUGCUCUGAACGCGACGCCUAACCGUCUGGAGGAUUCACAGUCCUCAAGUGUAAUAAGUCUUCAGAUCACACAGACAAGAAGACUUAAGUGAUGCCCAAUUUACUCUGGCUCUGGGUGGUUAGGGCUUUUCUCCUCGCUAGGAAUUUUCUCUCAAAGGCUUCGAGGUGGGUUGCUCUCAAACGAAAAAAGCCGUGCACUGAAAUCUGAGCAGCCAACCGUUUAUGGUUGUGGGGGUGGGCUAUUUAUAGCCACUUGGCAACCCGACCUAAUUUGUCUGAAAUGACCCUGGGUCACUAAGGAACUGACAUGUGUCUCAACGGUCAGAUUUCGAACUCUCAUGGCAACUUUACUUGGGCUACAAGCAAAGCUGACUUGUCCGGCUCUGGACAAGAUUCGCUCUCAUUGUCUUCACUCAAAGACAUAGGUUUUUGAUUUAGGCAUCACUUCAGUCAUUCUGACUGGUUCUCCUGAACCCCACUUAACAGUACGGUGGCUCCUAUGACUCAACACAAAAAGAAAAAGAACUACGAAAGAUCUAAGUCUUCGAGCUCCAUAUGCUUCAUAACGUGUCUUGUUUUGUCAUAGUCUUCAAAGUGAAUAUCUUCAUGUACCACCUUUGUCUUCAAUGUCUUCAUACAUUUUAGGGGUCAUCUCUGGUAGUAAAACCGAAUCAAUGAGGGACUUCUACCUGUAUUAUCCUGCAAUUCUCACAAACACAUUAGUCCCUCAACUAGGUUUGUUGUCAAUACUCCAAAACCAACUAGGGGUGGCACUAGAUGCACUUACAAUCUCCCCCUUUUUGGUGAUUGAUGACAAACUAGUUGAAGUUUUCAACGGGGAAUAUAGUCUGUGAAAUUGUAAAGGAAUUGUCUUCAUAAGUUGCAAGGGUUCCCCCUGAAGAUGUGCAUAUAAGUUAAUUUGCUUUUGGAAUGCAAAUGCACAUGGCAGGUUGUACUUGUGGAGAUCCACUUCAGCUUAUGAUGACAAUCCACUAUGCAUGUGAAAGUAUAUGAAGAUAAUGACAUGCAUAAUGGAAAAUGGACGUCUGCAGAAUGAGAUAAGUGCGAAAUUUAUCUUCGCAAACAGAGUGGCAAACAAGUAGCAGACUACCAUCGAGUUUUAGUGUUUACAACUCAAAGAACCAAAUGAAGCAAAAACAAGAGUUGUAAACACGAAGCAAAAUAUAACAAAACAUAAGGCACCCGCCCAUAUUGACCCGCUUGAAGACUAUAAACAUCAUAUGCUUCUCCCCCUUUUGUCAGUAAUGACCAAAAAGGUUUGAAGACAUAGAGUUUUCUACGCGUUCCCAGGCGCAGCAGGGUCGGUGGAGUUGUUUGGCAGUGCAGAAGAGCUUGGCGGUGCUGAAGCAGGUGGCGGUGAUGUAGCAUCGUCUUCUUCAUCGAUGAUUCUGGCAGUGACUGUGGCAGCAGAUGAAGAAAACUCAGAGUCUUCAAGUGAUGGUGUGUUGCGCAUCACAGCCCUUCUAGGAGGUGUGGUGUCAAACUUGAAACGUUUUGUGAAGCCAUCCUCUUCAAGUUCAGCUUCAGUACAUAUCAUUGAGAGCCCUUUCCAUGUACGACGGCAGGUUUCAUGUGUAACGAAGGCAUUCUUGGUGGCAAGGUUUCGAAGGCGAUUGACAUCCACCAAGAGGCUUUUCAUCUGACGCUUUAGCCAGUCGUGAUGCCUAUCUUGUUUUUGGUGAAGGGCCACAAGAAGCUCUCGGUCAGUGAGAACACGAGUGCGCUUCUUGGGUCUUGAAGCAGGUGCACUAUCAGUGGCUUCAGUUGAAGCAGGGUGUGGCGCACGUGUAGUGCCAGCCAAAGGAUACACCCUGGAGAUGGCUUCAACACCUUCAUCAUUCUGAGUGAAGCUCUGGUGUUCUGCAUUCUGAAGACUCAACGGUUGCUUGGCAGGCUCUGGAUAUAUAGCUUCAGCAGAGGUAUCCACAUCUGACAAGAAGAUCCGAUGGUUUCGGGCUGAGGGCUGAUACGAGAUCGUAGAGUGCAGUUUGAUCAGCCUCAUCACCCAAGGAGCAUAGAACUUCAAACCAAAUAAAUCGGAGCCUGACGCUGCAAGUUGGCGUAUGAAGAAAUCCUGUGCGUUGAACCAUUUGCCAUGAAGGAUACAGAAUAUCAUAGUCUUCAUUGCACCUUCGACCUUGGCAUUUGGAGAGUGCCCUUUAAUAGGCCAGAGAGUCCGCCGGAUGAUGUGAUAUAUGGUCCUGGGCAGGAACUCAAAGUCUUCAACGAAGAACUCUGUUGGAUAAGGAGCAUCGUGGGGCAAUGGCUUCAUCAUUGAGAGCAUCUGACUCAUAUUUGGUUCAGGCCUCUGGAAUAUGCUCUCAAUAGCUUUAGCAUGUAGUUGACAGCCUUCCUCGUAGUAUUCGCCAGGAGUGGGCAGGCCGGUGAGCUCAAUGAUAUCAAAUGCAUUGGCUUCAUGAUGGACAUUUCCGGUCAUCCACUCCAGUACCCAAGUCUUCGGAUCUCUGUUGUAUCCUUUAAUGUGGAGGGUGGCAUAGAACUGAAGCAGAAGCUCUUCAUUCCAGUGCUCUUCAUCAGUCACAAACGGCAGCAGACCCACUUGCCUAAAGCAAUCCAAAGCUUCCUCAAGACAGGGCAGACCAGCAAUGGCUUCAACCUCAAGGCGCUUGUGCGGGAAGAUGCGACCUUGGUUGUAUAGGAUGCUUGAGUAGUAGCUGCGCUGAGGAUAGCUCCAGAACCUAUCUGAUACAAUCCUUUCCCUUGAAUAGGGGUUCUUGGAGCUGUUGAAAAAUGUGUUGUCUGCCUUGAAGCUAUUUAUGUCAAAGGAGCCAGGUGCUGAUGCAGGACCUGGGAACCUUGGAAGCCUUGGGACUGGCUUCUGGACAUGAGGCCUGUGCUCAACAUGAUAAUCAAAUUGAGGACCUGCAGCAGACUCAGGAACAGAAGUGUCUGGCUCAGUAGCUUUGCUGUCUGCUGAAGCAUUUGGUGGGGCGGGCUCCACAUUGGCUUCAGUGUUUGUGGUGGCAGCCUCAACAUUUUCUUCCUCCGCUUGUGUAGUUGGAGGGACAACCUCAGGCACGUUCUCCUGGAGAACUGCAUCUUGAUGGAGCGGGGGAGUGGGUUCUGGUGGUGCUUCUUCAUUGUCUUCGGCUGAUGCAGCCGGAAUUUCUGCAGUAUGGACUUGAGGCCUUGGACCUUUGCGAAGCCUAUGGAACGCAGACGACGCUUGUGGGGUUAGAGUGGGCUGGGCCUCAAUGUCUUCUUCCUCCUGAGGGCGAUCCGCCCAUGAUGCAUCUUGUGCCAUUGGCGUCAGAGGACGACCAAUGCUGAUGAGUUCGCUUGUUUCAAGCUGAGGAAGGGCUGCAUCAUCUUGCACAUUGUCCUGGCGACCAAUGUCUUCAGCAGCUGUGGUGCCGGCUGCUGGAAUAUCUUCAGCUUUAGGGGCCUCUAUGGGAACAGGCUCAUGAACUGUCAGCUGACGUUCUGCAUUGGGGUGAAUGACAAAGAGGGGUUCAACCAUCAAGGGCUCUGUGGGAGCAGCCCGAGCUUUCUUGAUCUUAUGCUUCUUCUUGGCGGGGUCAGAAGGAGAGGCUUCAGAGUGUUUCCUCUUCCUAGCUUCAGCCUCUGCAUUCCGUGUCUUCUUAAGCUCUGAAGCGGUUGACCGGCUCUUUGGCUUAGAGCCAGUCGUGGCGGUUGGGAAGACAAUCGGAAUAGCUUCUUGUCUUGGUGCCUCUGGUUCAUUCACAGCAGGCUGCUUCUUCUUCUUCACGGUCAUCUUGGGGUCGCUGCCAGGACGCCCAAGUGCCUUGAGCUUAUCGGCCUCAUUGUAGGCUUGCACGCAUCGUUUAGCCAAAGACUUCAUCCGCUCACGUGAACCUUGAGCUUCUGCAUGCUUCUUCAGAAAAUUUUCCUUUAGCUCAUGCAGCAUGGUUUUGAAGCUCUUCACUUCCUGCACGCUGAGCCUGGCCAUGUGCUUCUUGAACUGAGCCUUUUCAUGAUCAAUUUUCUGCUUCAGCUCAACAAUGCGCUGAGCAAUGGCCAGUUCUGAAGCAAUUGCGCCUUGGAACGUGAUGCUGAGGCCAACGGGCAGCUGCAGAUCUUCGAAGCUUAUGUCCGGUGAGGCAAACCAUUCAUCGAUGAAGUUGUGGAUGAUGGCAACAUCAAAGAGAGGUAGGUUGUUGAAGAUUUCUGCUUCUUCCUUGAUUUUGAUGAGCUGCUCAAGAGCGUCAUCUCCAAGAUCUUCAUCGCUUCAUAGAUCAAUGGCUUCGCUGCGCAGAAUGGCAGCAGCAGUGAGCUCUUUGCUGGUGUGUUGCUGGGGCUCCUUUUCCUUCUGGGCUUGGAGACGCGGGAUACGUCUUCAGACUGCACACUGACUUCAGGAGGUGCAGUUUUCAAUGGCUUCGCCCUUGAGAUUUUUGAGGUAGGGGCCGGCUUUGAAGCUUUUGGUUUCUUCGUCUGCUUUGGCUUCGGCACAGCAAGAGCUUCAUCAGACUCAGAGUCAGCUGGAGGGUCAUUUAUGGCAGUCCCUUGGACUAAGAUGUGGGUGAUCAGGCCCUCAAGAUUGGCAAACGGACCGAUGACAUUGGGUUCGGCGUCGCGUGUGCCAUCUGCCCUUGGUGCGGAGGGGCCAGGGUUGAAGUCUAACCCAUAUUUCUUCUUGUCCUGCUUCGUUGACUGUUGGGCAAACUGGUAGUUGCGCUUGAAUAGAUUGUCAUCACGACACCAGAGAAGUGACGACGGAUGUGCAUCAUCAGGCUGUGGUCCUCGGACCAUGCAUGGGUAGAAGCCUUGAGCAAUGGCUUCAUCUCUGGUCCUGGGUACAAGGUUCUUGUAUAAGAUAUCCCCCACGGUCUCUUGAUGGCACUCUUUUCAGCAUACUCCUGGGUGACGAAGCGGUAUUUGAACCAUUGUUCUGCCCAAUAGCGUCGAAUCCAUUGGAUUCGGGUCUUGCGCUGCCCAUAGCUCUCUUCAGGAUCCGUUUUAUACAUUUCUGCCAAGUCUUCAGGCAGAUCUUUGGAAGUUCCCUCACGUCUCUGUCUGCCCCCUUCCUUGCUGCUGCUUCUGAAGUCAUAAACUUUAACUUGAAAGGCUUCAAAACUUUCAAAGGCUUCAAAGGCUUUCUUUUUCUGGACCAACAGGAGCUGGCUUCAGGAGAGUUUAUGUGAUGCUGUAGGAAUUCUGCAAAUGAAUGCAGACUAUGAGAAACAAAGGAUUCUCCCACGGACAUGUACCUGUGACAGCAUUAAGGUGCGAGGGAAGGGGAAGAGGUCAUAUGCAUUCUCAGAAGGUUUUGGAGAUUAAUCAGUUUAGAAGACAUUGACCUCAUCGUGCGAAGACAUUCAUUCAUAGAUAAGUAGUUGGUUCCAGAUUUGUACGAACCCACAGAUCAGUACAAGUGAGGAAUCUAACUACUUUAUGAAGCACAAGUGAAUAUACUAGGCAUGUUAUGAGAUGCAGCGAGAGAUCUAACUUGUGUGAAGAGAAACUUCUUAUGGUAGAAAGUGACAGAACCAUAAGAUCAAAGGGGCUGUAAAAAGAAGUUUUAUUUACCACACUGGAACUGCUAGACGGAAGUGGGAGAUGAUGCCGAGCAGUUCAGUCCUCCGUGCCCUAACUUGGCGACGGAAAACACCUACGGCGACGGCGGAGAGAACGAUGUCCGCGAUCAGCGUGAAGACGGCGUCGGAGAGGUCGCGACAGUGAAGCACUUCGUCGCCGGUGUCGUCGAGAGCUAGCGGUGGCGCUAGGGUUCGUGCGAGGGUGGAAGAAGGAGAUAAUGACCGCGGUAAGUGUGAACUUAUAGGCGCAGGGGCGGCACUGCGCUAUUACUCAGGUGCCCCUGGCGAUUCACAUUUGAGUAGUAGUGGCCAUCAUGCGGUAUUUUGGGGGCAGUUCCACAUCCCACGCACGCCUGGAUUGUUGGGCGGUCGUUCCUACUUCUCCAGAUUUUAUGUGGAGGAAUGAGCAUUGAAAACGGACUUUAUGGUUGUCUCUAUAUCUUUUGCGGACAAGGACGCAGUGAAGACAUUCGACAGUUUCAAUAGAAUGCAUAUGACUUAGAGAGAUAGAGUUUGAGAUAGAAAGCAUAGAGAGAUUAGGGUCCGAUCACAUUCACUUAGUUCAAAAGAUUCAACCAAGAAGACAUAGCUAUAAGUGAAUGCUGUAGAGGACAGAACACCAGUAUAUAUAUCUAUAUAAUCAACGUAGUGAAGAUAAUCAUGAAGACAUGUUGAGUUCGAAGCCAAACCAAAUGUGAAGAUAUUGCAAGGUAACGCCAUGAGUGAAACACUUCAAAAUGGAACGUUUGGUGGUGGCGUUACCCACCGUAUAGGAAGUAUUAGACCCAGACACGGCGCACAAUUAUCGUGGCGCUCCGAAGUCAAAUUCCACAUUAAUGUAUUCACACUUAGAAUGUAUGUCUUCAUUGAUUGAAGAUAUACUUUACUUUGUGUGUUGCACAUCUAAGUCAUCAAUAUGCAUAAGUGUUAGGAUGUGUGCCUGAUCACAGGACAUUUGAGGAUUCCAAGAUAUUUAGCUCACACCGUAACUUGCAAAACCUCUUCUCAUCCAAGGGCUUGGUGAAGAUAUCUGCCAAUUGUUCUUCAGUGUUGACGUGUAUGAUAUCAAUGUCUUCCUUCACAACAUGAUCUCCGAGAAAGUGAUGACGAAUUUCAAUGUGCUUUGUCUUCGAGUGCUGAACUGGGUUGUUGGCAAUCUUGAUGGCGCUUUCGUUAUCGCAGUAAAGUGGCACUUGCUUCAGAUGAAUGCCAUAGUCCUUGAGUGUUUGCUUCAUCCACAGAAGCUGAGCGCAGCAAGAUCCAGCAGCAAUGUAUUCAGAUUCAGCAGUGGAGAGAGAUACACAGUUCUGCUUCUUUGAAGACCAACAUACAAGUGAUCAUCCCAGAAAGUGACAUGUGCCUGAUGUGGACUUGCGAUCAACUUUGUCACCAGCAUAAUCAGCAUCCGAAAAUCCAACCAAAUCAAACUCUGAGCCCUUUGGAUACCAUAAUCCUAGAGUUGGGGUGUGAGCCAAAUAUCGAAGAAUUCGCUUCACAGCUAAGUGAUGCGACUCCUUUGGUGCUGCUUGAAAUCGAGCACACAUGCAAACACUAAGCAUAAUACCUGGCCUAGAUGCACAUAAAUAAAGCAAAGAACCAAUCAUGGAGCGGUAUACCUUUUGAUCGAACUCUUUACCAUUGUCGUCAGGACCUAGAUGAUGUUUGGCUGGCAUUGGUGUUGUGAUGCCUUUAUAGUCUUGCAUACCGAACUUCUUCAGGCAAUCUUUGAGAUACUUCUCUUGAGAUAUGAAGAUGCCAUUGCGUUGUUGUCGAAUUUGAAGACCAAGGAAGAACUUCAGCUCCCCCAUCAUGGACAUCUGAUAUUGCUCUUGCAUCAUAUAUCCAAACUCUUCACUGUACUUCUGAUUGGUGCAGCCGAAGAUAAUGUCAUCCACAUAUAUUUGGCACACAAACAGUUCACCAUCAUAUGUCUUCGUGAAAAGAGUGGGAUCCAGGGAACCAGGUAUGAAGCCUUUGCUCUUCAGGAAGUAUUUGAGUGUGUCAUACCAGGCCCUGGGAGCUUGUUUGAGGCCAUACAGUGCCUUGUUGAGCUUGUAUACCAUGUCAGGAUGUUUUGGAUUUUCAAAGCCAGGCGGUUGUGCAACAUACACUUCUUCUUCAAUCUUGCCAUUGAGAAAAGCACUUUUCACAUCCAUUUGAUAUAGAAGUAUGUUAUGAUGAUUUGCAUAGGCCAGCAGUAUGCGUAUGGCUUCAAGCCUAGCCACAGGAGCAAAUGUUUCAUCAAAGUCAAUGCCCUCCACUUGAGUAUAUCCUUGAGCAACGAGACGAGCUUUGUUUCUGACAACUUGACCAUGCUCAUCUUGUUUGUUGCGGUAUAUCCAUUUGGUGCCUAUUAUGUUGUGCUUCCGUGGAUCAGGACGCUUAACCAGUUCCCAUACAUUAUUCAGCUCAAACAGUUGAAGCUCUUCUUGCAUAGCUUGAAUCCAUUCAGGUUCCAUGAAGGCUUCUUCAACUUUCUCGGGUUCCGAUAUUGAUACGAAUGCGAAGUGCCCACAGAAAUUUGCCAGUUGAGUUGCCCUUGAACGAGUGAGUGGACCAGGUGCAUUGAUGCUGUCAAUUAUUCUGUCAAUUUGCACUUCAUUGGCAACACGAGGGUGUACAGGGCGAAGACUUUGCUCUUGCUGAUCUGUGUUGGUGUUGGGAGGAAUGUCUUCAGGCCGAGCAUUGUCUUCAUGUUGAUCAGGUGCUGAGAUGAUAAGUUCUUCUUCAGGAUGAGCUUCAGAAGGUAUAAUCUCUCCAGUUCCCAUAAGAUUGAUUGAUUCAUCAGCUGGAACUUCAUCUAGCACAUUUGGCAGUUGCUCUCUUUGUGAACCAUUUGUCUCAUCGAACCACACAUCCACUAUUUCAACCACUUUGUAAUGAAAGAGAUUGAAGACUCUGUAGGAGUGCGAAUCCUUUCCAUAUCCAAGCAUAAAGCCCUCAUGUGCUUUUGGUGCAAACUUUGAGGUGUGGUGUGGGUCCUUGACCCAGCAUCUUGCCCCAAAUACUCUGAAGUAACUGACAUUUGGCUUCUUGCCAGUUAGGAGUUCGUAAGAUGUCUUGUUCAGAAGCUUGUGAAGAUAAACACAAUUGAUUGUAUGUCAUGCAGUGUCAAUGGCUUCAGUCCAGAAUUUUCUUGGAGUCUUGUAUUCAUCUAGCAUAGUUCUGGCCAUCUCAAUGAGUGUUCUGUUCUUGCGUUCGACGACGCCAUUCUGCUGUGGCGUGUACGGAGCUGAGAAUUCAUGUGUGAUGCCCAAGGUAUCAAGAUAUGUAUCAAGGCCAGUGUUCUUGAAUACAGUGCCAUUGUCACUUCUGAUGUGCUUUAUCUUGGCGCCAAAAUUGUUCAUAGCUCGAUUGGUGAAGCGUCCGAAGACAUCCUGCACUUCAGUCUUGUAAAGGAUUAUGUGCACCCAAGUAUAUCUAGAGUAAUCAUCAACAAUGACAAAGCCACAGAGGCAAGCAGAAGUAGUAAAAGUUGAGUAGUGAGUGGGACCGAAAAGAUCCAUGUGAAGCAGUUCGAAGGGUUGUGUAGUAGUCAUGAUUGUCUUCGAAGGAUGUUUUGCCCUUGUCAUCUUCCCUGCUUCACAGGCACCGCAUAAGUGAUCUUUCUUGAACUUGACGCCCUCGAUGCCUAUGACAUGCUUCUUCUUCGCAAGGGUGUGGAGGUUCCUCAUGCCAGCAUGCCCAAGCCUCCGAUGCCAAAGCCAGCAUUCUGAAGCUUUUGCAAGAAGACAUACUGCAAGUUGUGGCCCUGCUGAGAAAUCUACCACAUACAAAUCAUCUUUUCGAUACCCUUCAAACACUACAGACUUGUCAGAUUCCAUUAGUACUAGGCAACGAUAUUUUCCAAACAUUACGAUCAUGUUCAAGUCGCAAAGCAUUGAGACAGACAUUAAGUUGAAGCCAAGAGAUUCAACAAGCAUGACUUUAUCCAUGUGUUGAUCCUUUGAGAUUGCAACUCUGCCUAGACCCAAUACCUUACUUUUACCAGUGUCAGCAAAUGUGAUGUGGCUCUUGUCGGAUGGACGUAAGGUUGAGUCCAUAAGAAGGCUUCUUUUGCCAGUCAUGUGAUUUGUACACCCACUGUCAACAAUCCAUUCUAAAGACUUUGAAGUCGCUGGUGUCGUACCCUACAGUGCAGUUAGGGGGAUAGGCUUCACGAAGAGAAUUGUGAAGCAAAAACAUUUGACGAACCAGUGGGUUAUGAAAAUUUAGAUCCAGAUUAGGACUAAUAGGAAGAGUAGCAUGCGAUUCAGGAACGAGGUACAUGAUGAUGCCAUUCGGGCAUUUUAUCUUGCGCCCUACAAGAUUUUUAAGGUCCCGAGCAAUAGCGUCAGAAGAUUUUGUUUUUCUGCUGGAGACCUUUCCCUGCAAAAGAGAGUUAAGCUUUUUUAACCACCCACAUCUUCAAGGGUGGCUUAGAAGCAAUAAGUCUAAGUGCAGCAUCUGAGAAUUUUGGCUUUGAAGCCUUAGCAAAUAGUCUAGCAGGUGGACAAUAAUACUCAUAGGAAUAAGCAGAAUAAUUUUUGGUCAUAUGAACAUGACGGUUCGAUGAACCGCUCUCAUAUUCAUAUGCCUGAGUAUAGUUUCCCUGCAAAACAUUUGCGUUAGUGUGACUCAGGUGAGUUCUCUGUUUGUAUGAAGCCAUUGGACCGGAUGAAGCCUUUGGUCUGAGGUUUGUCUUCUUCAAGUGAGGUGUCAUGAAGACAUUCACAGGAAGAUUUUCCAGACACUUUUUCGGAACCCAGAUCUUCUUCAAAGGCGGUCCAUUCCUGCAGUUAGUACCAAUGUACCUGGCAAACACUUCACCAUUCUGAUUCUUAAACAGUUUAUGGUUUGCAUCAAAGGAUUCAUCAAUGAUAAUGGGGUUAGCACAAGUGAAGCCAGAUAAAUUGGAUGGAUCUGCUGAAAGUUCCUUUGCAGCAACCCAUGUGGUUUUGGGGUACUGCUCAGGUUUCCAGUAAGAGCCAUCUGCAUUUAUUUUCCUCACGAACCCAACACCCUCUUUCCUAGGGUUUCGGUUCAGAAUCUGCUUCUUGAGGACAUCACAUAAUGUCUGAUGUCCUUUAAGACUUUUGUACAUCCCUGUUUCAAGCAAUGUCUUCAACCUAGCAUUCUCAUCAGCAAUGGCAGUGGUAUCCUCAGCAGAGGGGUUAGUUACCACAUCAGCAGUUGAAGAUAUUGGAACAGCAGUAGCAGUGGAACAUUCAGCAACAUAAGUAGCAUUAUCACGCUCAAUGCAUUUAAGACAUGGUGGUUCAAAUCCUUCCUGAGCGGAACUGAUCUGUUCGGCGCGAAGUGACUCGUUUUCCUUUUGAAGAUCUUCAUGAGCCGCUCUCAAUUUCUCAAGUUCUUGCUUCCUUUGAAGAUAAUCAGAGGAAAGCUUCUCAUGAGUUGUUGAGAGAGUAUCAAGACGAUCUUCAAGUUCCUGAUAUUUAACGUGAAGAUUUUUUAUGUCUUCAAUUAAGGAUUCAGAUCGAGUCAUUUCAGCACCCAACAGAUCAUCGCUUCUGUCUAACAGUUUUUGAAUAUGUUCCAUAGCUUUCUGUUGUUCAGUUGCAAUUUUAGCAAGUGUUUUGUAGCUGGGUUUUGAAUCACAGUCAGAGUCAUCGUCACUAGAUGUUUGAUAGCGAGUAGUGCGUGUGUUUACCUUAGCACCGCGUGCCAUGAAGCAGUAGGUAGGAGUGGAGUCGUUCUUGUUAUUUGCAUCAGUGUCGAUGAUGAAGUCAUUGUCUUCAGUGUUGAAGAUGGACUUGGCAACGUAUGCUGUAGCCAGACUCGCAAUGCCAGAAUCAGACUCCUCCUCAGACUCCACCCCUGCCUCCUCAGAAGCGGACUCCUCCUCUGAAUCCAUUUCCUUGCCAACAAACGCACGUGCCUUGCCAUAUGAGCUCUUCUUGUGUGAUGAAGACUUUGAGGAAGACUUGGAAGAAGACUUUGAGUAUUUCUUCUUCUUCUUGUCGUCAGAAUCAUAUUCCUUGCUCUUCUUCUUCCUUCUGUUCUCAUUGUCCCAUUGUGGACACUCAGAGAUGAAGUGUCCAGUUUUCUUGCACUUGUGACAUGUUUUCUUCUUGUAGUCAUGAGCAGAAGCUUCAUCAUUCCUUGAGCUUGAUCGUGAAGAUUUUAUGAAGCCUUUCUUCUUGGUGAAUUUUUGGAACUUCUUCAUUAGCAUUGCAAGUUCUCUUCCAAUGUCUUCAGGAUCAUCAGAACUGCAGUCAGAUUCUUCUUCAGGUGAGGAAACAGCUUUUGCCUUCAAGGCACGAGUUCGCCCAUAGUUUGGACCGUAGAUAUCUCUUUUCUCAGAAAGCUGAAACUCAUGUGUGUUGAGCCUCUCAAGUAUGUCAGACGGAUUGAGUGUCUUGAAAUCAGGAUGUUCUUGAAUCAUCAGGGCUAGGAUGUCAAACGAACUAUCAAGUGAUCUCAGCAGCGUCUUGACGAUUUCAUGUUUGGUGAUCUCAGUGGCGCCGAGGGCUUGAAGCUCAUUUGUGAUGUCAGUGAGCCGGUCAAAUGUGUGCUGGACAUUCUCAUUGUCAUUUCGCUUGAAGCGGUUGAAGAGGUUGCGAAGAACACUGAUUCUUUGAUCUCUCUGGGUUGAGACGCCUUCAUUGACCUUGGAGAGCCAGUCCCAGACCAGCUUGGAUGUCUUCAAGGCACUCACAUGGGCAUACUGUCCUUUUGUCAGAUGGCCACAGAUGAUAUUUUUCGCAGUAGAGUCUAGUUGAGUGAACUUCUUGACAUCAGCAGCAGUGACACCUUCUCCAACCUUGGGAACGCCGUUCUCGAUGACAUACCAUAGGUCAACGUCAAUGGCUUCAAGAUGCAUGCGCAUCUUAUUCUUCCAGUAGGGAUAUUCAGUUCCAUCAAAGACGGGGCACGCAGCGGAGACUUUGAUUAUCCCUGCAGUCGACAUAGCUUAAACUCCAGGUGGUUAAACCGAAUCACACAUAACAAGGGAGCACCUUGCUCUGAUACCAAUUGAAAGUGCGUUAUAUCGACUAGAGGGGGGGUGAAUAGGCGAUUUUUAUGAAAGUCUUCAAAAUGUGAGAGUUAUGAAGACAAACAGCAAAGAUUAUGCCUAUUACUAUGCAGCGGAAGUUAGAUUACACUAUGCCAGCCAUGGUCAUGUAUUCAAUAGAGUGAAAGCACAAUAACAAACAACUGUAGUGUAAUAAGGAUCAGGUAGGAAGAAGUUAUGAAGCCAAACAGAUCAUACAUUCACGUUGUGAAGACAAAAGAUAAAGCAAGCAUGCAAUGGCUUCACAAUGAGUAACAGUAAGAAAAGGAAGUGAAGAUGAAACCAGUGACUCGUUGAAGACAAUGAUAUGUUGGACCAGUUCCAGUUGCUGUGACAACUGUACGUCUGGUUGGAGCGGCUAGGUAUUUAAACCUUAGGACACACAGUCCUGGACACCCAGUCCUGAACACACAGUUCAGGACACCAAGUCCUCACCGUAUUCUCCUUGAGCUAAGGUCACUUAGUCCUCGCCCAAUCACUCUGGUAAGUCUUCAAGGUAGACUCCCAAACCUUCACAAACUUCGUCCACUGGCGAUCCACAAUGUCUCUUGGAUGCUCUGAACGCGACGCCUAACCGUCUGGAGGAUUCACAGUCCUCAAGUGUAAUAAGUCUUCAGAUCACACAGACAAGAAGACUUAAGUGAUGCCCAAUUUACUCUGGCUCUGGGUGGUUAGGGCUUUUCUCCUCGCUAGGAAUUUUCUCUCAAAGGCUUCGAGGUGGGUUGCUCUCAAACGAAAAAAGCCGUGCACUGAAAUCUGAGCAGCCAACCGUUUAUGGUUGUGGGGGUGGGCUAUUUAUAGCCACUUGGCAACUCGACCUGAUUUGUCCGAAAUGACCCUGGGUCACUAAGGAACUGACACGUGUCUCAACGGUCAGAUUUCGAACUCUCAUGGCAACUUUACUUGGGCUACAAGCAAAGCUGACUUGUCCGGCUCUGGACAAGAUUCGCUCUCAUUGUCUUCACUCGUAGACAUAGGUUUUUGAUUUAGGCAUCACUUCAGUCAUUCUGACUGGCUCUCCUGAACGCCACUUAAUAGUACGGUGGUUCCUAUGACUCAACACAAAAAGAAAAAGAACUAUGAAAGAUCUAAGUCUUCGAGCUCCAUAUGCUUCAUAACGUGUCUUGUUUUGUCAUAGUCUUCAAAGUGAACAUCUUCAUGUACCACCUUUGUCUUCAAUGUCUUCAUACAUUUUAGGGGUCAUCUCUGGUAGUAAAACCGAAUCAAUGAGGGACUUCUACCUGUAUUAUCCUGCAAUUCUCACAAACACAUUAGUCCCUCAACUAGGUUUGUCGUCAAUACUCCAAAACCAACUAGGGGUGGCACUAGAUGCACUUACACGGAUGAAGAUACACCCUUUGGACCUCAUUUGAAGGAAGUAGUCCACCAUGUAAAUAUUAUAAUCCGGGCACUUUUGUGAUAGUUAGAUUGAUUGAUGCCCUUGUUUGAUUGAUUUAAUGAAGUGAAUUGUUUUCUUUUACCUCAUGUGCAUACGGGUAGUGUUUUCUCUUUAGACCCCCUCUAUUCUUAAAUCUCAUCUUUUCUAAAAACCCUCAGAUGCCUCUGAGACGUGACCCCGGAUUUACCUUCCCACCGGAGCUCACCCAGUUGAUCCAGCAGCAGAACACAUUUAUGCAGUUACUAGUCCAGAAUCAGAAUCAAGGGAACAACAACAACAACCCACCACCACCACCACCACCUGUUGAUCACUUAGCCCAUUUUCUUAGGCUGAAUCCGCCGGUGUUUUCCAGUAGCACCGAGCCGAUAGUAGCAGAUGAUUGGCUCCGCAAGACAGCUAGAGAGUUGACCACAGCAAGAUGCACGGAUGCGGAGAAGGUGAAGUUUGCCGCACAUCAGCUUGAAGGACCCGCAGCAUCAUGGUGGGAGAAUUUCACAGCCACUUUCCCUGUCGAUACUGUCACAUGGGACCAAUUUCAGCAGGCUUUUCGAACUGCCCAUGUUUCAGCAGGAGCUAUGGCCAUGAAGAAGCGAGAGUUUCGCAACUUGCGCCAAGGAGGACGAACAGUUGGCCAGUAUGUGGAGGACUUUAGUAAAUUAGCACGUUAUGCCCCAGAUGACGUUGCUACGGAUGCAGGAAAGCAGGAGAAGUUUCUGGAAGGACUGAAUGAUGAGUUCAGCAUGCAGUUGAUGGUAGCAACCUUCAACAACUACCAGGAGUUGGUAGAUCGUGCUCUUAUGAUUGAAGGGAAGCAGCAGCAAAUUGAGAAUUGCAAGAGGAAGUAUGGACAAGGAAAGUACAAUUCUGGAGCUCAGCAGAAGCCACGUUUUACCCCUAGACCGGGAGGACAUUUCCAGCAUACCCAUGGAGGAGGUAGCUCGCACAAUCACAAUGGCCCCAAGACUGGUAAUGGGAAUGGAGGAAGCAAUGGCCAGAACCGCACCAACCCAUCAACCCCAGCCAAGAAAGACCUGAGCCAAAUCACUUGCUUUAAGUGCCAGAAGACCGGACAUUAUGCCAACGAAUGUCCUGAAUCACAUAAUGGAAAUGGCAAUGGAAGAUCUGGGAAGAAGCCGAACCCUUUCAACAGGGGAUAGGUGAACCACGUUAACGUGGAGGAGGUUGAAGAGCAACCGGAUGCAUUAAUCGGUAAGUUUUUGGUUAAGUCAUUUACUGCACUCGUUCUUUUUGAUACUGGUGCAUCGCAUUCAUACAUAUCAAGGGGAUUUGUGGAUAAGUAUAAACUGCCAACCCAAGCCCUUAGGUCACCCAUGUUAGUAACCUCGCCUGGAGCAGAAUAUAAGGCUAGUCUAUCGGCGUUCUGGGAACGGGGGUCCCCAGACUUGCCUGCCUGCGGCCUGCGGCGUGGCUCAAAGGGGGGGCCAGCACGGCCCAUCUUCACCAACGCAAACUCAAGACCCUCGCGGGGGGCCAAGCCUCGCGGGGCGGACGACACGGAGCUUCCUUAGGCACGGCCUCAUCAGGCUGGCUCACGAGGAGGCAGAGAGAUCAAGGCGGGGUACCUCGUGAGGUGCCCGUGACGCAAGCCAUGACGACUCAGGGCGCCAGGCGGGUGCCAGCCCGCGCAGCGUCCUCCUUUCCUCUUUGGUGCAAAGGGGGCAAGCGCAGUCGCGGAGUACCGAGGCGUCAGGCAAAGGUUGCCAUUUUGGUGCAACGAGACCAAGACCAGGAGGACUACGAGAUGGAGGUCACCAUGGAGCCCAAGACGGCGUCAUCGCCAGAGCUUUGCGCAGGCGAAGACUGCUUUUGUCAGGAUAGCUGAUACUUGCUGUCCCCUUUCAAAUUAGCCCGCCAUUGUUGGCUCCCUUCCCGCUCAAUAUUUGAGAAGAGGACCAAGGCCUCUAUAAAUAGGACCAGCCACCCACUGAGCAAAAGGGGGUUGGGUGGUAGGAAGAAAGAGGCUCGUUAGAGAGGCUAGAAGCAGAGAGGAAGAGAGAGAGAAAGGUGGUUGAACUCCUCCCAUCAGUUCAUCGCCCCAGUCAAGAACAGACCCUCGCGAGGCUGUUCUUCCUUGUAUUGUUCGUCAUCAUCAGCCCAAGAGGCAAUCCACACACCACACACUGGAGUAGGGUAUUACACCACAACGGUGGCCCGAACCAGUAUAAACCCCGUGUCCCUUGUGUUGUUCUUUCCAUAGCUUUGAUCCUAGUGUGGCGGAGGGGUGCAGGUAGGUAGGAGGCGAAAUCUCCGCGCGCACCCCAGUGUUCGAACCUCAAGGGUCUACCGGAACCCGAAAUCCGACAUUUGGCGCGCUAGGUAGGGGGGCGCCGGAAUUCGUCUUCCAUCGCCCCGCUCUGCUCCGACCAUCACACUCAUGUCUGACGCACGUUGGGCCCGCGCGGAGCGCCGGGCCGCCUUUGCUUCCCGUGUCGCCCAGACGGCCCCUGUCGGCGGGUGUUCCCGCUGUUCCCCGUCACCUGCCGUCAACGCCGCCACCGGCCCGGCGGGGGACGAGUGGCAAGCAUCGUCCCAGCAUCUGUCCGUGUGGCAAGACGGCCGCACCGUAACUCACUCGCUCACCCCAGCUGGUUCUUGUCCCGCGUGCUCCGCGCGCCCAUGGAGCCCCGCAACCUCUUCCCCACCUAUCGCGCUGCACCAACACCCCCAGUCGUCGCGGCCCUCUUGGGCAGCUCGCAGGUGCUGCCUACAAGUUACCGCAUCAAGCCGUUCAUCCGCUGGGUCAGCGCCGCUUCCACGCGGCCGGGGGCUCCCCUGGAUCGGGCGGUGCCCGAGAUCGGCCUGAGCUUCAGCCCGGGGGACCACCCCUCCAACUCGGCCUGCUCGGGCGCGCUCCCCAUGCUAUGCACCCCCACCAUCUGCCAGGUGGCCGUCACCAGAACUCUCAUCAAUGGCGGGGUGGGCCUCAGCGUGCUCUCAGUCGAGGCCUUCAACCUCCUCUGCAUACCCCUGGAACGGUUGCAGCCCAGCCGGCCCUUCUCAGGCGUCGGGGGCAGGUCAUCCAGCUCCUUGGGGCAGAUCCGGCUCCCAGUGACCUUCGGCACCUACGACAACUUUCGCACGGAGCUGGUCGACUUCGACAUCGCCCCCAUCCGCCUCCCCUACAAUGCCAUCCUCGGCUACCCAGCGCUGGCCCGGUUCAUGGCCGCAACGCACCCGGCGUACAACCUCAUGAAGAUGCCCGGGAGCAGCGGUGUCCUCACCGUGCACGGGGAUACCGGUGACGCUCUGCGGGUGCUCAAGCUCGUCUUCAGGACAACAGCAUCGGCACAGCCUGCCGACUUGGGGGCCCCCGAGCCCAAGGGGGCUGCGCCCGCCAAGAAGAAGCAGUUGUUCACCCAAGACAAGGCAGAAACCAAGCAGGUACCCAUCGAUGAGGACGGGUCCACCAACGCCACUUUCACCAUAGGCGCCCGCCUCAAACCCGAGCAGGAGGAGGCCCUGGUCGUGUUCCUGCGCGCAAACAAGAAGGUAUUCGCUUGGGAGCCGGACCAGUUGGCAGGGAUCCCCAGGAGCGUAAUCGAGCAUCACCUCAACGUGUGCCCCAACGUGCGCCCUAUGAAGUAGAAGGCCAGGCGGCAGUCCACAAAAAAGUAGGCCUUCAUCAUCCAAGAGACCCGCAAAUUAGAGGCCGCUGGGGUCAUUCGCGAGGUCCGAUACCCAGAUUGGUUGGCUAACCCUGUCGUUGUGCCGAAGAAGGGAGGGAAGGAACGCAUGUGUGUCGACUUCACCAACCUCAACAAAGCAUGCCCGCAAGAUCCGUUCCCGCUCCCCCGCAUCGACCAGAUCGUUGAUUCCACCGCGGAAUGCGACCUGUUAUGCUUCCUGGAUGCCUUCUCUAGGUAUCACCAGAUCAAGAUGGCGGUGGAAGACAUCGAGAAGACGGCCUUCCUAACCCCGUGCGGGGUGUACUGCUACACCUGCAUGCCAUUCGGGCUGCAUAACACAGGGGUGACCUUUCAGCGGCUGAUGCAUAUCACCUUGGGCCCGCAGCUCAGGAAGAAUGUUGAAGCUUACAUCGAUGACAUCGUGGUAAAAUCUCGGGAGGCCAGGACCUUGAUACAAGACCUGGAGGAAACCUUCGCGAGCCUCAACGUAGUGAACCUAUGGCUCAACCCAGAGAAGUGUGUGUUCGGAGUCCCCUCGGGCAAGCUCUUGGGUUUCCUCGUGUCCCACCGAGGCAUUGAGGCUAACCCGGAGAAGGUCAAGGCGGUGGAAGACAUGAGCCCGCCAAAGACCCUCAGAGAAAUGCAGAAGCUCACGGGGCACGUGACGGCGCUAGGGCGCUUCAUCUCCAAGUUGGGGGAACGAGCCCUGCCCUUCUUCCAGCUAAUGAAGAAAAAGGGGCCCUUCGAGUGGACCGAAGAGGCCGACAAGGCGUUCCAGGAUCUCAAGAGAUACCUGACCAGCCCACCGGUCAUGGUGGCCCCGCGCCCUCAGGAGCCCCUGGUGCUCUACCUCGCUGCCACUCCCUACUCCGCCAGCGCAGCCUUGGUAGCAGUCAAAACCACGGCAGUAGCCUGGGAUAAGGCAGAACAGGGACAAGGAAGGCCCACAGAAACCGCCAUCACGGCUAAGGAGGAUCAGCCGGCGCAGAGGGGCGCACCAGAGGCGGAAGAGGCCCCUCUUCCAGAUGGCCAGUCUCAGGAGGCCUCAUUGCCAAAAGAGGCGCCACGGUCUCCGAAGGGAGCCACCAGCACUGACGCACUCCACCUCAUUGAGCACCCAGUGUACUUUGUCAGCACAGUGCUGCGGGAUGCAAGAGCACGGUACCCCAUGCCUCAAAAACUCCUCCUCGCAAUACUGGUGGCUUCACGCAAACUGCGGCACUAUUUUCAGGGUCACCCCAUCAAGGUCGUCUCGUCAUACCCCCUGGAGAGGGUGCUCAGGAGCCCCAAUUCAGCUGGGAGGGUCGCUGAGUGUAACAUAGAGCUGCAAGCGUUUCAGCUCGAAUUCAGCACGACUAGAGUCAUCAAGGGAGCAGCGUUGGCGGAUUUUAUGGAAGAAUGGACGGAGGCGCCAGGCCUCAAGGCCAACGAGGAUCGGUCCCUGUCCCCGGGAAGCGAGGCGCCAGAAGGCUGGGUCAUGUACUUCGAUGGGGCGUUCUCCAGACAUGGCGCAGGGGCUGGGGCGGUGCUUAUAUCGCCCACCCAGGACAAGCUCUAUUACGCCGUGCAGCUUUGUUUCCAGCAGGGCGAAAAGGUCUCCAACAACAUAGCGGAGUAUGAAGCUUAAUAGCGGGCAUGAAGGCCGCAACUGCCCUGGGGGUGAAACGCCUCACCAUCAAGGGCGAUUCGCAGCUCCUUGUCAAUUUCUCCAACAAGGUGUACGAGCCGAAGGAUGAGCACAUGGAGGCCUACCUUGCAGAGGUCCGCAGGAUGGAGAAGCAGUUCUGGGGGUUGGAGUUGCAGCAUGUGCCCCGUGGCACCAAUCAGGAAGCCGAUGACAUCGCCAAACGCGCGUCUAGGCGGUUACCUCAGGAGCCUGGCGUUUUCGAGGAGCGGCUCUUCAAGCCUUCAGCCUUACCGUCAUUAUCAAACACAGCUCAGCCCAGGGAAGAGCUCCCUCAGCCACCUGCCUCAGGAGCUCCGGCUUGUGGCCCGGCCUCGGGAGCACGCCUGCUCCUGACGAUGAAACCUCAGGAGGGAUGUUGGAUCACGGAGCUCCGGAGCUACCUAACGCAAGGGACCCUGCCGGAGAAGGAGGAGGAAGCAGAGCGAGUGGCGCGCCACGCCACGGCAUACUACAUCAAAGAUGGAGAGCUCUACCGGAAGCGACCAAACGAUGUAUCCCUGCGCUGCAUCUCCAGGGAGCAAGGGAAGGAACUACUGGAAGAGAUACACGACGGAGACUGCGGACAUCAUUCGUCAUCACGAACCCUCGUUGGCAAGGCAUUCUGCAGUGGGUUUUACUGGCCCACCGCGCUCAAUGACGCCGUUGAACUAGUGAAAGCUUGUGAGGCCUGCCAGUUCCACGCCAAGCAGAUCCAUCAGCCGGCAGGGGGCUUGUAGACUAUCCCCCUUUCGUGGCCAUUCAUAGUCUGGGGGCUCGACAUCUUGGGUCCGUUCCCUCGGGCGCCAGGGGGCUACUGCUACCUUUAUGUUGCCAUGGACAAGUUCACCAAGUGGGCUGAAGUGGAGGCUGUCUGCACCAUUCCUGCGGGUUCCGCAGUCAAGUUCAUCAAGGGCAUCGUGAGCCGGUUCGGGGUGCCGAAUCGCAUCAUCACGGACAACGGUUCGCAGUUCACCAGUAACCUCUUCAAAACAUACUGUGCUAACCUUGGAACGCAGAUAUGCUACGCUUCAGUGGUGCACCCCCGAAGCAACGGCCAGGCCGAGCGAGCCAACGCGGAGGUCCUGAGGGGCCUCAAGACCAGGACGUUCAAGAAGAAGCUGGAGGCUUGCGGCAGAGGUUGGUACGACGAACUGCAGUCCGUGCUGUGGUCCAUCCGCACCACCGCGACCAAGCCGACUGGAGAGACCCCGUUCUUCCUCGUCUACGGAGCAGAAGCAGUCCUCCCUCACGAGGUCAGACGUCGCUCCGCGCAGGUCCUGGCGUUCGACGAGGCGCAACAGGACGCCAUGCGGGGGACGAACCUCGUGCUGGGGGAGGAGCGUCGCUGGGAAGCCGUGCUGCAAGCGGCGAGGUACCAACAAGCACUGCGGCGAUAUCACUGCCGCAACAUCCGCCCCAGGACUCUUGAGGUAGGAGACCUCAUGCUCAGGCGGAUUCUCUCCAAGGAGGGGUUGCACAAGCUCUCUCCCAUGUGGGAGGGCCCGUUCAAGGUUGUUCAUGUUUCCAGGCCCGGCUCCGCGCGCUUGGAGACUCAGGAGGGAGUGCCGGUCCAGAAUGCAUGGAACAUCCAUCACCUCCGGAGUUCUACCCCUGAAAAGGCCCAAAGCCUGUGAAGCAAGGCGAGUGCCUAUGAAGCUAUCACGUUUUGGAAAAGGCCCAGAGCCUGUGAAGCAAGGCGAGUGCCUGUGAAGCUAUCGCGUUUUGGAAAAGGCCCGGAGCCUGUGAAGUAAGGCGAGUGCCUGUGAAGCUAUCGCGUUUUGAAAAAGGCCCGGAGCCUGUGAAGCAAGGCGAGUGCCUGUGAAGCUAUCGCGUUUUGGAAAAGGCCCGGAGCCUGUGAAGCUAUCGCGUUUUGGAAAAGGCCCGGAGCCGGUGAAGCAAGGCGAGUGCCUAUGAAGCUAUCGCGUUUUGGAAAAGGCCCGGAGCCUGUGAAGAAGGCCAACGCCUGUGAAGCUCGCCGCCCGUGACACUCUCACGUAAUAAUGAGUUGGGGUUGUACACGCCCUGAAGUCUCAAGAGCGCCGGCCUCAGGCCCUGGGGCUCCCUCCCACGCCCAGUGGCAGCACUUAGCUCCACGCUGGUGAGAAGACGUCGAAGACUAGACGUUGAAGUUGUUGCCGUCUUUGGCUUGUGGUUCUUUGGCUUUUCACUCUCCUGCCUCGAUUUCUCUUGUGCAAGGCCUCGCGAGGGGGAGAGCCGAGCGCCCUCGCGAGUGUUCCUAUCCUAGUCACUCAAAGAGUUCGCGACCUGGGCCCCUUACAGGAGCACCCCUCCAGUCCGUGCCCCACGGGCACUGCGACACAAACAAAGGGCCUGGGUCGGUCGCCCCCCACGGCCGGGGCCGGGAACUAUCCAUGCUCGGACACAUAGCCGGAAGGUACGGUAACGAAAGCAAAACGAUGAUUAACAAGCAAUAACCCAAACACGCCCCUGCGGGGCUCCGCACUAUUGUCUUUGUUACGCAGGAAAAAGGGAAAAGGAAGAACAAAUCCGGCGCGGUUCGCCUCACACCGGCCCGCAGGGAAGGCCCGAGCUGCCUCCAGAGCUCAGGCGGACUCCCUCUCGCGCUUCACUAGGGCGCGACGGCGGGCGGACACGUUGCGACCCCCAAGCAGAUACGACGACGUGGAGGUUGAUCGUGGCCACCGCUAGAGGAGUCGCCGCCUGAAGAAGAACCGAAGAAUCUUGGGGAACCCUGAACGCCGCCAGCCAUGCGAGCGCUGCUCUCUCCAUCAUCACCGGAGCUGGGUUCCCAGCCGUGGUCGUCACCCUCGGGGCAACACCCUACGCGGCGACCAUCUUCCCCAAACACCCUCACGUAGAGGGUGGCGUCGCCGUCGAACUUGAAGUGUAGGGUGCACCGACGGCUCAGGCCACGCGCGCGGGAAAACGUCUGCCAACCGCGGGCCAGGGACAGGAUCCCGACCAUGGAGACCUCUAGAGAGACCCAUGAGGCCCGGCUGCAGCAGCCGUCGGCCUGGAGCCAAAGGCCGCCCGGGGCGCCGGCCGGGAGCUCGCCGAGGAGGAAGCGAGGAAGCGGAAGCCGGGUGCUAGCCGGCUCCGCCGACCACACGAUGAACUCCGGCAGCACUUCAGCAGCACGAACGCGCGGCCUGGGGGGACGCGCAGCCGGAGCGCGCCCCCCCGGCUGCAGCAAUCCGCCCGUCGCCGUGCUGAAGAUCACCUCCACGGCCGCGGGGAGCCACCAUGGUGGCCACAGGAUGCUUGCGAGGGCGCCCCCGGCCGCGCUUGGGUGGGGGAGAGGCGGGCUCAACCCGGCAAGCCUUCCCCUUCUCGGCGGCUGAGAACCUCCUCGACGGGGCCAUGAAGAAAAAGGAGAAGCAAGGGGGAUGAACUGGAAGGGCGUGCGCCAGUCCAUACUUAUGGCUGGCGAUGGCCAACCAACGGCCCCCACGAUCACAGGUAAUUAUGACCCGCUUUGCAUGCAGGGACUUGUACAAUCCGUGCAGUUGCCGAGGCGCCGUGGGGAAGUGGAGACGCCCACGUCCAAACAACCGCCACGCGGCGCCCAAGGACACAGGCUGUUAGGGCCCGUGGCGCUUCGCUCUUGCCCUUCCGCCUCCCUGCACGGCCAAGUCCGGGCGCGCCUUGGGCCCGGGGGCUACUGUCGGCGUUCUGGGAAUGGGGGUCCCCAGACAUGCCUGCCUGCGGCCUGCGGCGUGGCUCAAAGGGGGGCCCAGCACGGCCCAUCUUCACCAACGCAAACUCAAGACCCUCGCGAGGGGCCAAGCCUCGCGAGGCGGACGACAUGGAGCUUCCUCAGGCACGGCCUCGUCGGGCUGGCUCACGAGGAGGCGGAGAGAUAAAGGCGGGGUACCUCGCGAGGUGCCCGUGACGCAAGCCAUGACGACUCAGGGCGCCAGGCGGGUGCCAGCCCGCGCAGCGUCCUCCUUUCCUCUUUGGUGCAAAGGGGGCAAGCGCAGCCGCAGAGUACCGAGGCGUCAGGCAAAGGUUGCCAUUUCGGUACAACGAGACCAAGACCAGGAGGACUACGAGACGGAGGUCACCAUGGAGCCCAAGACGGCGUCAUCACCAGAGCUUUGCGCAGGCGAAGACUGCUUUUGUUAGGAUAGCUGAUACUUGCUGUCCCCUUUCAAAUUAGCCCGCCAUUGUUGGCUCCCUUCCCGCUCAAUAUUUGGGAAGAGAACCAGGGCCUCUAUAAAUAGGACCAGCCACCCACUGAGCAAAAGGGGGUUGGGUGGUAGGAAGAAAGAGGCUCAUUAGAGAGGCUAGAAGCAGAGAGGAAGAGAGAGAGAAAGGUGGCUGAACUCCUCCCAUCAGUUCAUCGCCCCAGCCAAGAACAGACCCUCGCGAGGCUGUUCUUCCUUGUAUUGUUCGCCAUCAUCAGCCCAAGAGGCAAUCCACACACCACACACUGGAGUAGGGUAUUACACCACAACGAUGGCCCGAACCAGUAUAAACCGUCCCUUGUGUUGUUCUUUUCAUAGCUUUGAUCCUAGAGUGGCGGAGGGGUGCAGGUAGGUAGGAGGCGAAAUCUCCACGCACACCCUAGUGUUCGAACCUCAAGGGUCUGCCAGAACCCGAAAUCCGACAUAGUCUAUGGUGUGAUCGGUUACCAUUAAGGAUUGGUAACUACGUAUUUCCAUCAGACCUAAUAGUGUUGGAAUCUCAAGGAUUGGAUGUGAUAUUAGGCAUGGAUUGGUUGUCAAAGUAUGAAGGGAAUAUUGAAUGUGCUAGUAAGUCAAUUUUUCUUACCACCCCAGAAGGGAGAAGGAUCAAGUAUGUAUCCCGACAUGUGCCAAAGAGGACUCAAGCAAAUUGUUUAACAGGGGUUGUGCAGGAGGAAGUACCAGUAGUGAAGGAUUUCCCUGAUGUAUUUCUAGAAGAAUUGCCAGGCAUGCCACCGGAUAGAGAUAUUGAGUUUCUGAUUGAGCCUUUGCCAGGCACAUGGCCAAUAUCAAAGAGACCACAUAGGAUGCCUGCAAAAGAUUUGGUGGAAAUUAAGAAGCAAAUUAAGGAGUUACUGGAUAAAGGAUACAUUCGCCCAAGUUCUUCACCUUGGGGAUCGCCAGUACUUCUAGUAGAAAAGAAGGAUGGAUCGUUAAGGAUGGUUGUCGAUUAUCGAGGAUUGAAUGAAGUAACCAUCAAGAACAAAUACCCACUACCGAUGAUCAAUGAUCUGUUUGAUCGAUUGCAAGGAGCUAAGGUAUUUUCCAAGAUCGAUCUGCGAUCAGGAUACCACCAGUUGAAGAUUCGGGAAUAGGAUAUACCCAAGACGGCUUUUACCACCAGGUAUGGGCUGUACGAGUAUACCGUUAUGUCAUUUGGUCUGACUAACGCACCUGCAUAUUUUAUGAACAUGAUGAACAAAGUGUUUAUGGAGUUCUUGGAUAAGUUCGUCGUAGUGUUCAUUGAUAAUAUCCUGGUUUACUCGAAGAAUGAAGAGGAGCAUAAGGAGGAUUUGUGUUUGGUUCUUGGAAGGCUCAGAGAACAUCAGUUAUAUGCCAAGUUUAGCAAAUGUGAGUUUUGGUUGAAAGAAGUUGGAUUUCUCGGACACGUUAUAUCCGGAGAAGGUAUAGCAGUAGAUCCCACUAAAGUUGAUACCGUGACCAAGUGGGAAGUACCAACCACAGUUGGAGAGAUCCGGAGUUUUCUUGGACUCGCAGGAUACUACCGGAGAUUUAUUGAGAAUUUCUCAAAGAUUGCGAAGCCUAUGACGGAGUUGUUGAAGAAGGAUACCAAGUUCAUAUGGACUGAGGAAUGUGAGGCUAGUUUUCAAGAGUUGAAGAAACGUUUGGUUACCUCACCAGUGUUGAUUUUACCGGAUCAGACCAAGGAUUAUGAGGUGUAUUGUGACGCUUCACGUCGAGGACUUGGAGCAGUGCUUAUGCAGGAAGGAAGAGUUGUUUCAUAUGACUCACGACAGCUUAAGCCUCAUGAGUUGAAUUAUGCUACACAUGAUUUGGAGUUAGCAGUCAUAGUGCAUGCACUGAAGACUUGGAGACAUUUUCUGAUUGGAAACCAUUGCGAGGUGUACACGGAUCACAAGAGCUUGAAGUAUAUUUUCACACAAAAGGAGUUGAACCUCAGACAAAGGAGAUGGUUGGAGCUCAUCAAGGAUUAUGAUAUGAGAUUGCAUUAUCACCCUGGAAAGGCUAACGUAGUAGCUGACGCAUUAAGCCGUAAGAGCCAUGUCAACACCCUAAUGACGGGAAAUUUACCAAGGGAGUUAGCCGAAAAUCUUCGAGAGCUAUGUUUGGAAAUAGUCCCGAGAGGCUAUGUAGCAGCAUUGGAGAUUCAGUCUACUUUGAUGGAUAAGAUCAGAGAAGCUCAAAGGACUGACAAGGAGAUUGCUUCUAUUAAGGAGAAAAUGAGCAAAGGAAAAGCUAAGGGAUUUCGUGAGGAUGAGCACGAUACCUUAUGGUUUGAAGACCGUGUCUAUGUGCCAAAUGAUCCGGAGAUCAGGAAGUUAAUUUUACAAGAGGCCCAUGAUUCACCAUAUUCGAUUCACCCAGGAAAUACCAAGAUGUAUUUGGAUUUGAAGGAUAUUUUCUGGUGGACCGGAAUGAAGAAGGAUAUUGCGGAGUAUAUAGCAGUUUGUGAUGUAUGUCAGAGAGUGAAGGAGCAUCAGAAGCCAGCAGGAUUGCUACAACCAUUGCCGAUACCCGAAUGGAAGUGGGAUAAGCUAGGCAUGGAUUUUAUUACAGGAUUGCCCAGAACACGUUCAGGCUAUGACUCGAUAUGGGUUGUAGUCGAUCGUUUGACAAAGGUAGCUCAUUUCAUUCCAGUGAAGACUACCUAUACCAGUGCAAAGUUGGCAAAGAUAUACAUGACCAGGAUCGUAUGUCUGCAUGGAGUUCGAAGGAGCAUUGUAUCAGAUAGAGGAACCCAGUUUACCUCAAAGUUCUGGAAUCAGUUGCAUGAGACUUUGGGAACCAGACUGGAGUUUAGCACAGAUUUUCACCUGCAGACAGAUGGACAGAUUGAGAGAGUCAAUCAGAUUUUGGAGGAUAUGCUAAGAGCUUGUGCGCUAGACUACGAAUCUAGUUGGGAUGAGAAUUUUCCAUAUGCGGAGUUCUCUUACAACAACAGCUAUCAAUCCAGUUUGAAUAUGGCCCCUUUCGAAGCCUUGUACAGAAGGAGGUGCAGGACCCCAUUGUCCUGGGAUGAAGUUGGAGACCGCCAGUUGUUUGGACCGGAUCUGAUAAAGGAAUCUGAACAGAAAGUGAAAUUAAUUCACGACCGGUUGAAGGUAGCUCAAUCCAGGCAGAAGAGUUAUGCAGAUUCUAAACGCAAGGAGACAGUUUACGAAGUCGGAGACCGAAUUUAUCUUCGAGUAUCACCACUUCGAGGAGUUAAGCGCUUUGGAGUUAAGGGAAAAUUAGCGCCACGUUUUGUAGGCCCAUACAAAGUUUUGGAGCGUAUGGGAGAAGUAGCCUACAAGUUGGAAUUGCCCGAAGAAUUGUCGGGAGUUCACGACGUGUUCCAUGUAUCCCAGUUAAAGAAGUGCCACACAGAGAUGGCUGACAUACUGCUGAGAGAUACGGUACCACUGGAAGCAAUUCAGUUGGACAGUGAUUUGACCUAUGAGGAGAAACCACUUAAGAUUCUAGAGUAUGCGAGUCGAGUCACCCGCAGCAAGGUUAUCAAGUUUUGCAAGGUUCAGUGGAGCCACCACAUUGAGGAUGAAGCCACCUGGGAAUGAGAGGAAUAAUUGCUGUAAGACCACCCUCACCUAUUUUCUAGCCAACCCGAAUCUCGAGGGCGAGAUUCAUCUUAAGGGGGGUAGGUUUGUAACAUCCCAAAUUUUCAAUUUGGAAUGUUAUACACUAGAUCAUCAUUGCAUAUCAUAUUUAUUGCAUUUUGGUUGAUCCUAGAAAUUUUUCGCAACUCAAGGACCCUCGGAGAGAGUUGGGGAUUUCGUUAUUUUCAUAUUUGAGUUGUCUCAAAUUUUGAAAAUAGGAUCUUUUGAUUUUAUUUAUUUUAUCUUCAAUUAUUUCUAUUACAAAAAUAUGAGAGAGGGAAUAAAAUGACUUUCCCAAAAUAAAGAAAUAUUGAGGAUUUAAUAAAAAAUCAUUUAAGGUUUUAUUUGGUUUUAUUUGCUAUUUUAUUUGAAUUUAGGAAAAAUGCGUUUUUUUUCAAAAUUGCAUUUAGGCCCCAAAUAAAUGUUCAUCCUGUGCGGCUUGAUUUUAGAAGCCGGGGAAAAUUUAUUUCGGGAUUUUUGGAGUCCGUUUAGUAGUCCUUUUGUUUUUUUUCCGAGCGUAAGUAUUUAAAAAAACGUCCGAACCGACCUACGGGCCGUGCUAGGCCCGGACUCCUCCAGGCCUCAGCCUUUAUAAACUGCUGGCCCACCCCAGGCCGAAACCCUAGCCGCCGCCCGCCUCGAGCCCCGCGCACGCGCUGCCGCCGCCUUUCGCCGCUNNNNNNNNNNNNNNNNNNNNNNNNNNNNNNNNNNNNNNNNNNNNNNNNNNNNNNNNNNNNNNNNNNNNNNNNNNNNNNNNNNNNNNNNNNNNNNNNNNNNNNNNNNNNNNNNNNNNNNNNNNNNNNNNNNNNNNNNNNNNNNNNNNNNNNNNNNNNNNNNNNNNNNNNNNNNNNNNNNNNNNNNNNNNNNNNNNNNNNNNNNNNNNNNNNNNNNNNNNNNNNNNNNNNNNNNNNNNNNNNNNNNNNNNNNNNNNNNNNNNNNNNNNNNNNNNNNNNNNNNNNNNNNNNNNNNNNNNNNNNNNNNNNNNNNNNNNNNNNNNNNNNNNNNNNNNNNNNNNNNNNNNNNNNNNNNNNNNNNNNNNNNNNNNNNNNNNNNNNNNNNNNNNNNNNNNNNNNNNNNNNNNNNNNNNNNNNNNCUCGCCGCCGAGUCGCCGAGGUUGACCCGCCGGUUUUCGUUCGGUUUUCGCCGGUUUUCGUUUGGUUUUUUUAGUUUCGUUUUUUUCUUUAGAUCGUUUUUUGGUUUAGGCUAAUUAGCGAGCGUUCGCUCGUUCGUUCGUUUUAACGAACACGUUCUUCGUUUAGACUCAUUUAACGAAUGUUCGUUUGUUAAACUGUUCGUCAUUUUUUCCUUUUCUCGGAUUAAAUCCGCGAUUUUUUUGAUCGCGAUUUCUGAUCCGAUUUUCGUUUUAGUCUAACUUUUCGCUCGUUUAUCGGAAUCAGGCGAUUCAAGCACCUGGAGUUUCGUUUCGAAACCCUCUUUCCGUUUAACCAACUUAAACAAGUUUUUGCCACUGUAAAAAUUGCCUUAGAUCCAGAAUAGUAAACGAAGCUUGUUUCUUUUGCCUUUUGUCUUUUGUUGCUUCGUUCGAUUUGACUCUUUUGCCAACCAGAGUUGUUAAGUUGAACUUUCUGGUUAAAUCUCUUAUUUGAGUUUUACCUGUGCAUUAAUUGAGUACUUAUUGUAUGCUUGUUUGUUUGCGAUAGAGUACCCGGUGUGCGCCGCUUGGUACAUCGAAUCGCUAGGUUUCCCGGACCAUCAGCAAGGCAAGUAACACUUUGAUCAUACCUCCUACUACCCAGUUUUAUUGCAUUAGAUCAAUCCUUACACAUUGCAUGAUUAGGAUCUAAUUAAAUUGUGGGUUUGGGAAGUAGUUGAGGUAGUACCUAUUACCUGUUUAUUAUCAAACCUUUGGGAGUUAUUUCUACGUUUGCUUAUUAUGCCAUGCUAUGCUAGUAGACGUGGAUUGGGUGAGUGUAUCCAUGACAGAUGUGAGAUUGUUAAUUAAUGGUUUAUUUAAGGUGGCAACUUAAACACACAUCUGGGUGGAUUGAGGUACCUGGGUAUUCCAGGAUUGCCUGUUUGUCUUUAUGGACCGCCACCCAGGCUCGAAGGGAUCAUGAGAUUAUUCAUGCUAGAAACUUCCGUGUGCAGCCACAAGCUAUUAUGGGCUCUAGCAUAGUUGACUAAGUCAUGCGAACUCUUACAGUGGUAGACUAGCAGAUGUAGGGGAUGUAGGUGGUACGGUCUACCCAUCGUAAGGUGCUAGCGCUUCUGAAAGAAUAUGUCUCGGUCAUCCGUUUCUCAAACACCAUGUAGUGCGAGAAAUCCAACGGAGGAGAUCGAGUCUUGUGGGAAAAAAUGCGCAAACCUCUGUAGAGUGUAUAAACUAAUCAUGGUUAGCCGUGUCCCCGGUUAUGGACAUCUUGAGUAUCUAGUACCUGGAUUAUCAGGUGAAUCUCAACAUGUUACUAUAAAAUUAAUUUUGAUGGGUUUAUUUAAUGAUGAUGCUUAAUUGGGAUUGAGAAUGCCGUCAAUCAUUCUCAAUGUUUUAACAACCACCAUGAUAGUUAAAUAAAUUCAUUCCUUUGCAGUAGGGAAAAAUUGGCUUUACGCAAAACUGUAACCAUAGAGCUUUCCACCAGCCAAAUAUGCAUAUAGAAUAGCUGUUUCAUUCCAUUACUCUCUAUGUGUUACAUUGCCAGCAUAUUCCAUGUGCUGACCCGUUUCGGGCAGCAACGUUAAUGUUGCAGACUUUUCAGACGACGAUUAAGGAGUUUUAGGUCGUGGUUCUAUACUCAGUGAUGCCGUUGGAGUUGAUGGAAUCACUUAUCUUCCAAGCCUUCCGCUGUUAUCAUUAUUAGAUGGCCUUAAGCCAUAUUUAUUGUAAUAAGUUCUCUAUUGAGACACUCGAUGUAAUAAGUGUGUGAUUGCUACUCUGUUAUAAAUCCUUCAAGUACUGUGUGGUGUCAGCAUUACUGAUCCAGGGAUGACACCAGAGCACAGAGAUUGGACCAUUUGAGGUCUGGUCGCUACAAGUUCAUCACAGAAAUCUGUUCCUGUGACUACUACACCAAUUAGUGAGGAAGCUAAUGAUGAUGAUCAUGUAACUUCAGAUAAAGUUACUACCGAACCUCGUAGGUAAACCAGAGUGAGAUCCACACUAGAGUGGUACGGUAAUCCUGUUCUGGAGGUCAUGUUUCUUGACCAUGACGAACCUACGAACUAUGAGGAAGCGAUGGUAAGCCCAGAUUCCGCAAAAUGGUUUGAGGCCAUGAAAUCUGAGAUGGGAUCCAUGUAUGAGAACAAAGUGUGGACUUUGGUUGACUUGCCCGAUGAUUGGCAGGCCAUCAAGAAUAAAUGGAUCUUCAAGAGGAAGACGGACGCUGAUAGUAGUGUUACUAUCUACAAAGCUAGAGUUGUCGCAAAAGGUUUUUCGACAAGUUCAAGGUGUUGACUACGAUGAGAGUUUCUCACUCGUAUCUAUGCUUAAGUCUGUUCGAAUAAUGUUAGCAAUUGCCGUGUUUUAUGAAAUCUGGCAAAUGGAUAAACAAAACUGCAUUCCUUAAUGGAUUUAUUAAAGAAGAGUUGUAUAUGAUGCAACCAGAAGGUUUUGUCAAUCCUAAAGGUGCUAACAAAAUAUGCAAACUCCAGCGAUCCAUCUAUGGACUGGUGCAAGCAUCUCGGAGUUGGAAUAAAUGUUUUGAUAGUGUGAUCAAAGCAUAUGGUUUUAUACAGACUUUUGGAGAAGCUUGUAUUUACAAGAAAGUGAGUGGGAGCACUACAACAUUUCUGAUAAGUAUAUGUGAAUGACAUAUUGCUGAUCGGAAAUAAUGUAGAAUUUUUUGUAAAGCAUAAAGGAGUUUUUGAAAAGAGUUUUUCAAAGAAAGACCUCGAUGAAGCUGCUUACAGAUUAAGCAUCAAGAUCUACAGAGAUAGAUCAAGACGCUUGAUAAGUUUUUUCAAUGAGUACAUACCUUGACAAGAUUUUGAAGUAGUUCAAAAUGGAACAGUCAAAGAAAGAGUUCUUGCCUGUGUUACAAGGUGUGAAAUUGAGUAAGACUCAAAGCCCGACCACGGCAGAAGAUAGAAAGAGAAUGGAAGUCAUUCCCUAUGCCUCAGCCAUAGGUUCUAUAAAGUAUGCCAUGCUGUGUACCAGAUCUACCCUACACUCAUUUUGGCAAGGGAGUACAACAGUGAUCUAGGAGUAGAUCACUAGACAGCGGUCAAAAUUAUCCUUAAUGGAAUAAGGAUAUGUUUCUCGAUUAUGGAGGUGACAAAAGGUUCGUCGUAAAGGGUUACGUCGAUGCAAGUUUUGACACUGAUCCAGAUGACUCUAAGUCUCAAUCUGGAUACAUAUUGAAAGUGGGAGCAAUUAGCUAGAGUAGCUUCGUGCAGAGCAUUGUUGACAUAGAAAUUUGCAAAAUACAUACGGAUCUGAAUGUGGCAGACCCAUUGACUAAACUUCUCUCACAAGCAAAACAUGAUCACGCCUUAGUACUCUUUGGGUGUUAAUCACAUAGCGAUGUGAACUAGAUUAUUGACUCUAUUAAACCCUUUGGGUGUUGGUUACAUGACGAUGUGAACUAUGGGUGUUAAUCACAUGGUGAUGUGAACUAUUGGUAUUAAAUCACAUCGUGAUGUGAACUACAUUAUUGGCUCUAGUGCAAGUGGGAGACUGAAGGAAAUAUGCCCUAGAGGAAAUAAUAAAGUUAUUAUUUAUUUCCUUAUAUCAUGAUAAAUGUUUAUUAUUCAUGCUAGAAUUGUAUUAACCGGAAACUUAGUACAUGUGUGAAUACAUAGACAAACAUAGCGUCACUAGUAUGCCUCUACUUGACUAGCUCGUUGAUCAAAGAUGGUUAUGUUUCCUAGCCAGAGACAUGAGUUGUCAUUUGAUUAAUGGGGUCACAACAUUAGAAGAGUGAUGUGAUUGACUUGACCCAUUCCGUUAGCUUAGCACUUGAUCGUUUAGUUUGUUGCUAUUGCUUUCUUCAUGACUUAUACAUGUUCCUAUGACUAUGAGAUUAUGCAACUCCCGUUUACCGGAGGAACACUUUGUGUGCUACCAAACGUCACAACGUAACUGGGUGAUUAUAAAGGUGCUCUACAGUUGUCUCCAAAGGUACUUGUUGGGUUGGCGUAUUUCGAGAUUAGGAUUUGGCACUCCGAUUGUCGGAGAGGUAUCUCUGGGCCCUCUCGGUAAUGCACAUCACUUAAGCCUUGCAAGCUUUGUUCCGGUUCUCGUUGCUAUGCAUCACCUAUUAUGUGUUAUGAUCCGUUAAACCCGAAGUGACAAUAAUCGGGAUACUUACCAUUGAUGACCGUAGUUUGAGGAGUUCAUGUAUUCACUAUGUGUUAAUGCUUUGUUCCGGUUCUCUAUUAAAAGGAGGCCUUAAUAUCCCUUAGUUUCCGUAAGGACCCCGCUACCACGGGAGGGUAGGACAAAAGAUGUUAUGCAAGUUCUUUUCCAUAAGCACGCAUGACUAUAUUCGGAAUACAUGCCUACAUUACAUUGAUGAACUGGAGCUAGUUCUGUGUCACCCUAGGUUAUGACUGUUACAUGAUGAACCACAUCCAGCAUAAUUCUUCAUCACCGAUCCAUUGCCUACGAGCUUUCCAUAUAUUGUUCUUCGCUUAUUUACUUUCCCGUUGCUAUUGCUAUCAUCACUACAAAAUACCAAAAACAUUACUUUUACUACUGUCACCUUUUGCUACCGUUACCACUACUAUCAUAUUACUUUUCUACUAAAUACUUUGCUGUAGAUAUUAAGUUUCCAGGUGUGGUUGAAUUGACAACUCAGCUGCUAAUACUUGAGAGUAUUCUUUGGCUCCCCUUGUGUCGAAUCAAUACAUUUGGGUUGAAUACUCUACCCUCGAAAACUGUUGCGAUCCCCUAUACUUGUGGGUUAUCAAGGAACACUUUGUGUGCUACCAAACAUCACAACAUUACUGGGUGAUUAUAAAGAUGCUAUACAGGUGUCUCCAAAGGUACUUGUUGGGUUGGCGUAUUUUGAGAUUAGGAUUUGUCACUCCGAUUGUUGGAGAGGUAUCUCUGGGCCCUCUUGGUAAUGCACAUCACUUAAGCCUUGCAAGCAUUGCAACUAAUGAGUUAGUUGCGGGAUGAUGUAUUACGGAACGAGUAAAGAGACUUGUCGGUAACGAGAUUGAACUAGGUAUUGAGAUACCGACGAUCGAAUCUCGGGCAAGUAACAUACUGAUGACAAAGGGAACAACGUAUGUUGUUAUGCGAUCUGACCGAUAAAGAUCUUCAUAGAAUAUGUGCGAGCCAAUAUGAGCAUCCAGGUUCCGCUAUUGGUUAUUGACCAGAGACGUGUCUCGGUCAUGUCUACAUAGUUCUCGAACCCGUAGGGUACGCAUGCUUAACGUUUCGAUGACAAUUAUAUUAUGAGUUUGUAUGUUUUGAUGUACUGAAGGUUGUUCGGAGUCCCGGAUGUGAUCACGGACAUGACGAGGAGUCUCGAAAUGGUCGAGACAUGAAGAUUGAUAUAUUGUAAGCCUAUGUUUGGAUAUCGGAAGUGUUCCGGGUGAAAUCAGGAUUUUACCGGAGUACCGGGAGGUUACCGGAACUGCCCGAGAGGUUAAUGGGCCUUAGUGGGACUUUACGGAGAAGAGGAGAGGCGGCCAGGGCUGGGCCGCACGCCCCUCCCCCCUACUCCGAAUAGGACAAGGAGAGGGGGGCGGCGCCCCCCUUCCUUCCUCUCUCCCUCCUCUUUCCCCGUCCCAAGUCCUAAUCCAACUAGGAAAGGAGGGGGAGUCCUACUCCCGGUGGGAGUAGGACUCCUCCUGGCGCACCCUCUCUCUUGGCUGGCCACACCCCCUUGCUCCUUUAUAUAUGGGGCAGGGGGCACCCUAGAGACACAACAAUUGAUCUGUUUGAUCUUUUAGCCAUGUGCGGUGCCCCCCUCCACCAUAGUCCACCUCGAUAAUACUGAAGCGGUGCUUAGGCGAAGCCCUGCGUCGGUAGAACAUCAUCAUCGUCACCACACCAUUGUGCUGACGAAACUCUCCCUCAACACUCGGCUGGAUCGGAGUUGGAGGGACGUCAUCGGGCUGAACGUGUGCUGAACUCGGAGGUGUCAUGCGUUCGGUACUUGAUCGGUCGGAUCGUGAAGACGUACCGCUACAUCAACCGCGUUGUGCUAACGCUUCCGCUUUCGGUAUAAGGGUACGUGGACAACACUCUCCCCUCUCAUUGCUAUGCAUCACCAUGAUCUUGCGUGUGCAUAGGAAUUUUUUUGAAAUUACUACGUUCCCCAACAAGGCCUUCAAACUGAGCCUUGUAAGCCGAGGAUGCAGAAUAUACCCCAUCUUUGGUGAACUUCCAUAUAAUCGAGUCUUCAACAUCAUCAUCGAGGGCCACCGUUGUUAGUUUCUCCCAAAGGUUAGCAAACUGUUGGAUGUGUUCCAGGGAGAGGCCAUUUGGGCUGUCAAUAUUCACAAUCCACUGGUUGUUGGCCAUAGCUUGUUGAACUGAGGAUUUUUUUCUUGCGAGAGAGGUCGUAGAUGUAGGGAGCGAUGUCAUGAGGGCACAAUACUGCUAGCCAAGAUGAAUUCCAGAACUCAUUGUCCUUCCAUUUCCCACGGUGACCAUGGUGGCCGCCGCAAAGAACUGGCGGUUAUCUUCUGUGGACGGCACUCCCAUGCCAAUCCAUGGCUUGCUCUUAUCUUUCCACUCAAACCAUAACCAUCGAAGUCUUAGGGCCUUAGCAAAUUUCUUCAGAUUUAGCACCCCCAAGCUACCCUUGUUCUUCGGUUUGCAAACAAGGUCCCAGUUUACCUUGCAUUUCCCUCCGGAAACCUUGUCCGUGCCUGCCCAAAUAUAUGCACGAUGGAUGCUAUAAAUUUUCUAGAGGACCUCCACGUGGAUGUCAAGAGGAGUGAGAUGAUAUAUUGCGAUGGCCGUUAGGGCAGCCUUGACAAGAACCGUUCGACCUGCAGCAGCCACAUGUCUUCCUUGCCAAGGAGGGAGCUUGCCUGCAAUCUUAUCUUCAAGAUGCUAAAAGUGGAUUCUCUUGAAACGCUUAACAGACAAAGGAAGCCCAAGAUAACGGAUCAGAAACGAUGAACGGACCGCCGGAAAAGCAUGGAUGACGUCGUCCAAAUUGAUACCAUCACAUCGAAUAGGAGCAACAAGACUUUUAACACAGUUGUUGACAAGACCGGUCACUUCUCCAAAUGAAGCUAGAGUGGCAGCCAGGAAUUGAACAUCCUCCUUAAUUGGUUUGAUAAAGAUGGCAGCAUCAUCAGCGUAAAGGGAAGCUCGAAUGGUUGGGGUUGUACCACACAGAGGAUGGAGGUGCCCUUGGGCAGUAGCCUUGCUAAGGAGAUGUUGGAGUGGAUCAAUGGCGAGGACAAAAGGAAGGGCGAACAGCGGGUCGCCCUGUCGAAGGCCACAUCCAUGCUUCCGCGGGUCUCCCAACAACCCAUUGAUCAACACUCUCGAGGUGGCGGCGGAUAGGAGAGCGGCAAGCCAAUCCCGAAAUCUGACCAGAAAGCGAAGAUGUUGGAGAAGAUCCAUGAGAAAGUCCCAGCCCACAGAGUCAAACGCCUUCCUGAUAUCAAGCUUGAAUAGAAGAGUCGGGAUGUUUUUUCAAUGCAGUUUUCUCGUCAAGUUUCUGACAUACAUGAAGUUGUCAUGGAUGCUUCUCUUUUUUAUGAAGGCGCUCUGGGCGUUCGAGACAAGGUCGUGCAUAUGAGGGGCCAUCUGGGUAGCCAUCGUCUUGGCAAUUAUCUUCGCAAAAGCGUGAAUGAGGCUAAUGGGGCGAGUGAGGGAGUCCUGGAUUAGGGGGUGUCCGGAUAGCCGAACUAUACCUUCGGCCGGACUCCUGGACUAUGAAGAUACAAGAUUGAAGACUUCGUCCCGUGUCCGAAGGGGACUUUCCUUGGCGUGGAAGGCAAGCUUGGCGAUACGGAUAUGUAGAUCUCCUACCAUUGUAACCGACUCUGUGUAACCCUAGCCCUCUCCGGUGUCUAUAUAAACCGGAGGGUUUUAGUCCAUAGGACGAACAACAAUCAUACCAUAUGCUAGCUUCUAGGGUUUAGCCUCCUUGAUCUCGUGGUAGAUCUACUCUUGUACUACCCAUAUCAUCAAUAUUAAUCAAGCAGGAGUAGGGUUUUACCUCCAUCGAGAGGGCCCGAACCUGGGUAAAAACAUCGUGUCCCUUGUCUCCUGUUACCAUCCGCCUAGAUGCACAGUUCGGGACCCCCUACCCGAGAUCCGCCGGUUUUGACACCGACAAUGGUGCUUUCAUGGAGAGUUCCUCUGUGUCGUCACUUUUAGGCCCGAUGGCUUCUCCGAUCAUCAACAACGAUGCAAUCCAGGGUGAGACCUUUCUCCCCGGACAGAUCUUCGUAUUCGGCGGCUUUGCACUGCGGGCCAAUUCGCUUGGUCAUCUGGAGCAGAUCGAAAGCUACGCCCCUGGCCAUCAGGUCAGAUUUGGAAGUUUGAGCUACACGGCUGACCUCCGCGGAGACUUGAUCUUCGACGGAUUCGAGCCGCAGCCGAGCGUGCCGCACUGUCACGAUGGGCAUGAUCUAGCUCUGCCGCCGAACAGUGCCCUGGAGGCCACACCCGCAUCAGCUCCGACCCUUAAUUCGGAGCCAACUGCGCCAAUCGAGGAUGGGUGGUUGGACACCGCCUCGGGGGCUGCAAUCUCUACGGCGAUCGAGCCGAACACCAGCCCUAUUCUCUACGAAUCCCGUGACUCCAAGGAGCCGGACUCCUCUCCAGACUCCGAGCCCUCCGUGCCCCUACCGAUCGAACCCGAUUGGGCGCCGAUCAUGGAGUUCACCGCCGUGGACAUCUUUCAGCACUCGCCCUUCGGCGAUAUUCUGAAUUCACUAAAGUCUCUCUCUUUAUUAGGAGAGCCCUGGCCGGACUAUGGUCAGCAAGGUUGGGAUGCGGAUGAUGAAGAAAUUCAAAGCCCACCCACCACCCACUUCGUAGCCACUGUCGAUGAUUUAACCGACAUGCUCGACUUCAACUCCAAAGACAUCGACGGUAUGGACGCUGAUGCAUGAGACGAUCAAGAACCAGCGCCUAUAGGGCACUGGAAAGCCACCUCGUCGUAUGAUAUAUACAUGGUGGACACCCCAAAAGAAGGCAAUGACGAUGGAACAGCGGAGGAUGACCCCUCCAAGAAGCAGCCUAAGCGCCAGCGUCAGUGGCGCCGCUAUAAAUCCCGCCAAAGCAAAAAUGGUGAUUCCGGCACGGGAGAUAAUAACACCCCGGACAGUACCGAAGACAACCACCUCCAGCAAGAUUCAGCACAGGAGGAUGGAGAAGCCAACCCUCAUGAGAGAGCGGCAGACAGAGAGGUCGAGGACGAUAAUUAUAUGCCUCCCUCCGAAGACGAGGCAAGCCUCGACGAUGACGAAUUUGUCGUGCCGGAGGAUCUCGUCGAACAAGAGCGUUUCAAACACAGGCUUAUGGCCACAGGGAGCAGCCUCAAGAAAAAACAGCAACAGCUUAGAGCUGAUCAAGAUUUGCUAGCCAACAGAUGGACUGAAGUCCUUGCGGCCGAAGAGUAUGAACUCGAACGCCCCUCCAAGCGCUACCCAAAGCGCAGGUUGCUACCCCGAUUAGAGGAGGAAGCACCUAAACCUACAUCACCAGCGCAUGAUGCGGCCGACCGGCCCGCGACAGAGAGGCCUCUUGGCCCUCCACUCAAGCCGCACCCCGGCACCGCUCAAAAAAUACCAAGACACGGGAAAAUGCGCCAGACCUGCGAGAUAUAUUGGAGGACAAGGCAAGGCAAACAAGAUCGAUCUAUGGAUCGCGUGGGUGCCCCACGGCACGAGACAGUAAUUGUCACUCCGGAUACAGUAAAUCCGGUCGGGCCGAACACAGUAGACAAAGCUCGUUUAAGCUGCGUCGUGAUAUAGCCCAAUACAGAGGCGCCACACACCCACUAUGCUUCACAGAUGAAGUAAUGGAUCAUCAAAUCCCCGAGGGUUUCAAACCCGUGAACAUCAAAUCAUAUGAUGGCACAACAGAUCCUGCGGUAUGGAUCGAGGACUAUCUCCUUCAUAUCCACAUGGACCGCGGUGAUGACCUACACGCCAUCAAAUACCUCCCACUAAAGCUUAAAGGACCAGCUCGACAUUGGCUUAACAGCUUGCCAGCAGAAUCAAUUGGUUGUUGGGAGGACCUGGAAGCCGCAUUCCUCGACAAUUUCCAGGGCACUUAUGUGCGACCACCAGACGCCGAUGACCUUAGCCACAUAAUUCAGCAGCCAAAGGAAUCGGCCAGACAAUUCUGGACACGGUUCCUAACCAAGAAAAAUCAAAUCGUCGACUGCCCGGACGCAGAGGCCCUAGCAGCCUUCAAGAAUAACAUCCGCGACGAGUGGCUUGCACGGCACCUAGGACAGGAAAAGCCGAAAUCUAUGGCAGCCCUCACGACACUUAUGACCCUCUUUUGCGCGGGAGAAGACAGUUGGCUAGCUCGCAGCAAUAACAUGACCAAGAGCCCUGGUAAUUCGGAUACCAAGGAUAGCAGUGGCAGGUCGCGUCGCAACAAGCAAAAGCGCCGCAUUAACAGCGACAAUGCUGAGGAUACGGUAGUUAAUGCUGGAUUCAGAGGCUCUAAACCCGGUCAGCGGAAAAAGCCAUUCAAAAGAAAUACUCCGGGCCCGUCCAGUUUGGACCGUAUACUCGACCGCUCAUGCCAGAUACAUGGCACCCCCGAAAAACCAGCGAAUCACACCAACAUGGAUUGUUGGGUGUUCAAGCAGGCAGGCAAGUUAAAUGCCGAAAGCAGAGACAAGGGGCUGCAUAGAGAUGACGAGGAGGAGCCCCGACCGCCAAACAACAGUGGACAGAAAGGUUUUCCCCCACAAGUGUGGACGGUGAACAUGAUAUACGCAACCCACGUCCCCAAGAGGGAGCGGAAGCGUGCGCUAAGGGACGUAUACGCGAUGGAGCCAGUCGCCCCAAAGUUCAACCCAUGGUCUUCCUGCCCGAUCACUUUUGAUUGAAGGGACCACCCCACUAGCAUCCGUCAUGGCGGAUUCACCGCAUUGGUUCUAGACCCAAUUAUUGACGGAUUUCACCUCACUAGAGUCCUUAUGGAUGGCGGUAGCAGCCUGAACCUGCUUUACCAGGAUACAGUGCGGAAAAUGGGCAUCGAUCCCUCGAGGAUUAAACCCACUAAAAUGACCUUUAAAGGCGUCAUACUAGGUGUAGAGGCCAACUAUACAGGCUCGGUUACACUUGAAGUGGUCUUCGGAUCUUCGGAUAAUUUCCGAAGCGAGGAGUUAAUCUUCGACAUAGUCCUGUUCCGCAGUGGCUAUCACGCACUGCUCGGGCGAACCGCAUUUGCCAAGUUCAAUGCGGUGCGGCACUACGCAUACCUCAAGCUCAAGAUGCCAGGCCCUCGAGGAGUCAUCACGGUCAAUGGAAACACCGAACGCUCUCUCCGAACGGAGGAGCAUACGGCGGCUAUUGCAGCGGAAGUACAAAGCAGCCUCUCAAGGCAAUUCUCCAGUCCGGCCAUUAAACAUCUGGACACCGUCAAGCGCGCCCGAAGUAACCUACAACAAGACCGCCUGGCACGUUCCGAGCAAGCGUAGCAAUGCGGCCCCAACCCCAGCCCUCGCGAACUUGCGAAACCAGUGUUGCGCGUACAUAACUAUGCUCUGGAAAUACCAUGGGCACAGGGGAGGGGCACCAUCACAGCACGCCCGAAACACGGCUUAAACCGCACUAGGGGCUGCUGAUUUCUUAAUUUUCUCUUAUUUUUAGGACUCCAUUCUUCGGAAGGCUUGUCCGGCAGUACAAUUGCCGCACAAACGAUACAACCAGGGAAGCAGAAAGCUACGCCGCACUAUGGAACUCUAAGGUGGUCUCUAUAACGAGCAGUAUACCUGUUUCACAUAACAUCCCGCAGCUCGCCCCUGGAAAGGAAAUGUUAAAUAGUCCCAUCUUUUGCUUAUUGUACUAUUUGUAUCGUUCUGCUUUGAUCGCAGCUUUUUUAAAUAAACAAUGCAUAGCUUCCGUCUAUUAUUGCGUUACUCUUUUUUACGAAUAUAUGUUCAUUAAUGACAUGUUGCACCCGUACACUUUGGUACGGCCAAUAUGCCAGGGGCUUAAGUACCCCACAAUACGGUGUGAGAAGUCCGAACACUUUCACAAGUGUGGCACCCCGAACUUAUAGCAUUAUAUGCAUCGGCUCCGAAUCACGUCUUGGGUCAAUAGUUGGGUUUUCCCGGCUCCUAUCUUUUGGUACCUUACGUUCCGUUAUAUCGGCUAAGGUAGCACUAGGAGAACUACUGCGAUUGUGCCCUAGUUGAGCUGGGCUAAGCACCUCAGUAGAGAAAGCUAAAACUGGCCGUCAUGAUGAGGCGAGAGCUGGUCGCUGUUCGAGAGGUUUUCGAGUCCCUAUAGACUUAUGCCGCUUAGAGCGAGGAGUCGGCUUUGUCUGGCCUAGGCGUGGAUAGCGCCCCGAACUCGGUCUUCCGAACACUAAGGGCUUCGCCGAAAUUUAAAAUUAUAGAAUUCUAUGGCUAAGUGAGAGUGUUCAAGCAUUAUAGUCCGAUUGCCUUGUUCGUUGUGUUGAGCGCCUCCCUCGAAGGACCCAAGAAUGGGAAAAAGAGCGCUCAUGUUUAUCCCGAACACCCCAGCACUCGUGGCAUGGGGGCAGAAGCCGACGACUCGCCAUCUCUCAAAUUUGGUAAACAACCGCAUAGAAAGUAAUAUUUUAAAUUCAAAAGCGUUGCUUAGAGCAUAUGAACAAGUUUUCAGCGUACAGGAUCACAAAUGCGAGUUUACUCAAAAAUUACAUCUUUGGAGCAUUCAUCCGCUAUAAGGCGGGCACCCUUCAGGACGCCCUCAUAAUACGCUUCCGAGAUGUGAUCCUCCUUGCCCGGCAGCGGCCUGUCCUUCACCAGCUUCUCCGCAUCCAUCUUGCCCCAGUGCACUUUAGCACGGGCAAGCGCCCUACGGGCACCUUCGAUGCAGACAGAGUGCUUGAUUACUUCAAGCCAUGGACAGGCAUCCACCAGCCGCCUCACCAGCCCGAAAUAGCUCCCAGGCAAAGCCUCUCCAGGCCAAAGCCGAACUAUGAGGCCCUUUAUGGCCUGUUCGGCCACCUUGUGGAGCUCGACCAUUUGCUUCAGCUGGUCGCUCAAAGGCACCAGGUGUCCUGCCUCAGCAUACUGAGACCAGAACACCUUCUCCGUCCAGCUCCCCUCCUCGGAUCGAUAGUAGGCGGCGGCAUCAGACACACUGCGGGGCAAAUCUGUGAAUGCUCCUGGAGAGCUCCAGACUCGGGUAAGUAACAAGUAAUUCACUUUCACGUGCUUGCUUUGCAUAAUGAAUGCCUUACCCGCCGCUAUCUUCUUCCUCGCUUCAAUUUCUUGGAGGGCUUUCUGGGCUUCGGCCUUGGUAGACUUCACGCUCUCGAGGGCUGCCGCAAGCUCGGAUGCUUGCGUCUUUGAGUCAAGCUGCAAACUCUCGUGUUUUUUCAUGAGAGCCUGGAGCUCUUUCUGCACCUCCUCCACCCGCGCCUCCUGCUUCCCUCUCUCUGUGCGCUCCGCGGCCGCUCUGUUUUCAGGCUCAGACAUCGCUUUCUUAAGGGUUGCCACCUCGGUCGUGGCCCCUAUAAUAGCACGUUGAUCCUGUCAUUUUUUGCAACCACAUCUUAUCUAUAUACUUGCGCAAUGUAUUACUUACCUUCCUUCUCCUCGAGUUGCCUCUUGGCAUGGCCGAGCUCGUUCUCGGACCGCGCGAGGUUUUGCUUCAGCGUAUCCACCUUCACAGUCAGUGCGGCAGAGGCCCGCAGCGAAGCCUGCAUACGCAUAUUGACUUGAUUAUGUUAGACUCAUGCGAAUGUUAUUAGAUCCUCUAUUCGGCUUUUCUUUCCGAACGCCGAAUAGAGCAUCAGGGGCUACUGUCUAUGCGGUAAUAUUUUUACAUAUUCUUUACUUACCUCAAAUCCUGUUAGAAGCUGGCACAGGCUUCAGUCAGCCCGCUCUUGGCGGACUGAACCUUCUGGAUCACGCACUCAUAAUAGUGCGGUGCUCCUCGUCGAUGGAGGCGCCAUUAAGCACCCCCAGCAAAUUGUCCGGUGCCUCCGGUUGGACGGAGGUCACCGGCUCAGUAGGCUUGCUCCUCUUGGAAGGAGGCUGCCUACCGGAGUCCGGAACCGUUGAAGGUUCCGGCGCGGUGUCCGGCUCAAGGCCGGACUCGGAGCCCUUGGGGGUUUUAUCCCCUUUGCGCCUGGAGUCCAGGAGGUCGCCUUGCGGCGCCUCCAGGACCACCUCCUCCUGGCUUGGAACCUGUUGGGACAGCACCUCGGUGUCGUCCGUAGGGAGGGGGAGGUAGCGGGCGGAAGUGAAUUCACGUCCGACGAAUCCAGGGAGCCGCUCGACGACUCGUCAAGCCCGGCCUUGGGCGGGCUGCAUAGUCAUAUUCGGCGUAAGGAGGAGCUGUGCAAGAAAGGAACACUAUGAAUUGCUCUGGUGUACGAAUACUUACGAUCUCGCCAGGGGCUUGGCCCUGUGCGGCCACUCCUCUUCGCCGUCAUCGGUGUUGGUGGGGUAGUCCAGAGGAAGGGUGUUCCCCUUCUUGGACCCUUCGGCCUCCCUAGUUGGGACGGCCUUCCUUUUCUUCCCUCCCCCCACUGGAGGGGGAGAGGUCUCUUCUUCCUCCUCCUUGUCUUCAUGGGAGGAGUGCGCCUUGGAGUCAUCGGAUGAUGAAUCCGACACCUCCUGGCGCUGGGAACUCUUUUGAGUCCCCGUGGCCUUCUUCUUGGCCUUCUUCUCCGGCACCACAUAGGGUGCCGGAACCAGCAGCUUCGCCAAGCGAGCGUCCGCUGGGCCUUCGGGCAAAGGAGCCGGACAGUUGAUCUGUCCGGACGUCUCCUGCCAAUCCUGUCAAAGGCAAGGGAGCUUAGAUCCCGCAUGGAGUAAAACUAUGAAAAACUAAUACCCUAUAAAAGGUAAAAACAUCUUACCGCACUAGAGUGACGCUGCGUGCUGAAUCUGCGAUCCUCGGUAGCGGAUGCGGGGGCCUCGGCGCCCUUGAAAAGCACCUUCCAGGCAUCUUCGUACGUCGUGUCGAAGAGCCUGCUCAGAGUUCGGUGCUGCACCGGGUCGAACUCCCAUAGGUUAAAAGCCCGUUGUUGACACGGGAGGAUCCGGCAGAUGAGCAUAACCUGGACUACGUUGACAAGUUUGAGCUUCUUGUCCACCAGGGUUUGGACGCAUGUUUGGAGUCCGGUCAGCUCUCCUUUUUUACCCCAUGGCAGGCCCGUCUCUUUCCAGGAGGUGAGCCGCGUAGGGGGUCUGGAUCGGAACUCGGGGGCUGCGACCCAUUCAAGGUCACGCGGCUUGGUGAUGUAAAACUACCCCGAUUGCCACCCCUUUAGCGUCUCCACGAAGGAGCCCUCGAGCCAUAGGACAUUGGGCAUCUUGCCCACCAUGGAGCCUCCGCACUCCGCCUGGGUGCCGUGCACCACCUUCGGCUUCACAUUGAAAGUCUUGAGCCAUAGGCCGAAAUGGGGGUGGAUGCAGAGGAAAGCCUCGCACACGAUGAUAAACGCCGAGAUGUUGAGGAUAAAGUUCGGGGCCAGAUCGUGGAAAUCCAGGCCAUAGUAGAACAUGAGCCCCUGGACAAAUGCGUGGAGAGGGAAGCCCAGUCCACGGAGGAAAUGGGGGAGGAACACCACCCUCUCAUGGGGCCUAGGGGUGGGGAUGAGCUGCCCCUCUUCGGGAAGCCGGUGCGCAAUGUCGUUAGACAAGCAUCCGGCCUUCCUCAGUUUUUUGAUGUGUCCCUCCGUGACGGAGGAGACCAUCCACUUGCCUCUCGCUCCGGACAUGGCUGGAGAAGGUUGAGGUGGGGUGUGCGAACUUGGGUGCUGGAGCUCGAGUGCGUGGAAAUGGAUAGGCAAAGGAGGAAGAAGGCGUGGAUGAACAGGUGGAUCCUUAUCCCCUUAUAUGGGCGGACGCGACUAUGCGUCCCCACCAGCCUGGUAAAACUCGCUUAUAUCCCAAGCGCUGUAAUCAAUGGCGCGGUUGGGUUACCCACACCCAUAUUGAUGAGAAUCCCGGAAUAAGGGGACACGAUCUCUGCUUUGACAAGACGUGCCAAGGAAACCUCCUCGCUAAGCGCACUGAGGUGGGACAGUAAAACGAUUCGAAUAAAGACUUGGCCGUGGUGUGAUGUCACACUACGAAAUACGUCAGCAGAUUAGAUUUGUGUAAAUGUUAUUCUCUCUAUGGCCGGACACUACCUUUGUGUUCAAAAUCUUCUAUGAAGUACUUGGAGGAGGAACCCGCCUUGCAAUGCCGAAUACAAUCUGCGCGCUAGACUCGUCGUCAUUGAAGCCUGGUUCAGGGGCUACUGAGGGAGUCCUAUAUUAGGGGGUGUCCGGAUAGCCGGACUAUACCUUCGGCCGGACUCCUGGACUAUGAAGAUACAAGAUUGAAGACUUCGUCCCGUGUCCGGAGGGGACUUUCCUUGGCGUGGAAGGCAAGCUUGGCGAUACGGAUAUGUAGAUCUCCUACCAUUGUAACCGACUCUAUGUAACCCUAGCCCUCUCCGGUGUCUAUAUAAACCGGAGGGUUUUAGUCCAUAGGACGAACAACAAUCAUACCAUAGGAUAGCUUCUAGGGUUUAGCCUCCUUGAUCUCGUGGUAGAUCUACUCUUGUACUACCCAUAUCAUCAAUAUUAAUAAAGCAGGAGUAGGGUUUUACCUCCAUCGAGAGGGCCCGAACCUGGGUAAAAACAUCGUGUCCCUUGUCUCCUGUUACCAUCUGCCUAGACGCACAGUUCUGGACCCCCUACCCGAGAUCCGCCGGUUUUGACACCGACAGCGAGAGUCCGAGAUGGAUUCCACCACAUCCUUCUUUGGAAUGAGAGCAAUGUUCACCGAGUUGAGCCAGUGCAAAUUCUCAAAGCAUAAUUAGAGAAGUGGUUGACCAUGAGCAUGAUAUCAUCUUUUAUUAUUUCCCAACACUCCUUGAAGAAGGCCCCAGAAAAGCCAUUGGGUCCCGGUGCUUUGUCACUGGGAAGAUAAAAAAAUUGCCUUUUUCACCUCUUCUCUAUGAAGGCCACUCCAAGGCCCGUGAGGUCGCACUCAGGGACCGGGAUAUUGUCCCAGUUGAAAUCGGUGCGACGCGGUAGACUGUGUUUGGUGACCUUCGCGAAAUGAUCUUGGAUGAUGGCCUUCUUAUGAUCAUGGGCAGUAACCCAUUCGUUGUUAUGCUUGAGGCGGUCGAUGAAGUUCUUCCUUCUUCUAUGAUUGGCCCGUAGGUGGAGAAAACGGGUGAUGGCGUCUCCAUCUUUUAGGUUGGUAAUUCGCGAGCUUUGUCGAUUCCGUGCACACUCCAUAAUGGCCAAGGCAACCACCUUCCGUUUGAGGUGCUUCCGUAGAUCUCGCUCGUCAGUGCUAAGGAGCCGAAGUUCUUGAGCCACAUCCAGGCGAAGGAUAACUUCCAGAGCCAUGUGGAGUUGCACCUUCGAGUGCCCGAAGAUCGUCUCGCUCCAUCUCCUCAAGUUUUGACUAUUUUCUUUUAACUUGUGAAAAAUGAUGUGGUAAGGAUCUGUGUGAUUAAUAUUCUUAUUCCAAGCUUCCUGGACAACCUAUUUGAACCCAGGCAUUUUGAUCCAAAAGUUUUCAAAACGGAAGGACUUUGAUCUCCUCAGGCCGUUGUCAUUUGCAAGGAGGAGGGGGCAGUGAUCGGACAAUGACGACGAGAGUGCGUGGAUAAGGUGAGUGCCAAAAUCGAGGUCCUAAUAUUCAUUACAAAAGAAAGAGUCGAGCUUGCUUAAGGCCGGGUCACUCCGUUCAUUACUCCAAGUGAAUUUUCUGUUUUUCAAGUGAAUCUCUUUGAGCUCGCAAGUAUUCAGUGCAUUACGGAAGCGGACAAGUCGACUUGGUCGAUGUUUUCUCUAUUCUUGUCUCUGGCACGAUAUAUUUGGUUAAAGUCACCAGUGACUAGCCACUUUGAACCAUGGGGAGGUUUCUCGCCAACCAGCUCCUGGAAGAAAGCAUCCUUGAGGUUGCUUCUCAUUGGUCCGUGGACCGUUGUUAGCUUAAAGGUUUUAUUGGAUGCAUUGAUCGUGACAUUGCGGGAGAGGAAGAAGGCUCCAAUGCAAACAUCCUUCACGUCCACAGUAUCGUCAUCCCAGAGAAGAAUAUGCCACCCCGUGUACCAUCAGCAGGGUGCUGGGAAAAAUUCUUCAAUCUUUGACCUCCCAAGUACGAAGCGAUGAAAGGGUCGACGAGCUCUAGCUUGGUCUCCUGCAGGCAGACCAAGUGACAUGGAGUAGCAAUGAUUGUUUCUAGGAUUGUUGCUCGCCGGUCGGGACAAUUUAAGCCUCAGACAUUCCAGCUUAGGAUACUAAGAUUUUGAUCUAUCAUGGCACAAAAAUAAUCAUGGCGGCAAAGAGCAGAGUUAAUAAGUUGUACUAGACUGAAUCUCUGGCUGAAGCAAUCAAAACACCGAUUGAUGAACUACAACAAUGAUCAUCCGUAUCAAUCAUCUAUUGACAUCACAAAAAUGAAAUUACCAAAAAGGUUCGAUGACACCAACACCUCUAAGAAGGAAACAAUGCUCAAAUGACAUCCGGAUCCAACUACCAAGAGUCAAAUCUUUGGUCUUCACCGUGAAGAUAAAAGUCCGAGUAAAUCGGAACAAUGUCUUCAAUAAGGUAACAAUACAAAACCAUCGCCAUUUCAGGUAUAACCAAUUAGAGUAAGGCCUUGGAUUUUUCACCACGGAGCUCUAGACCUCGUACUUGAAAAGCACCACCGAAUCAAAAUCAUCAUGUGUAGUGGCCAUCACUUUCCGCUACCCCAGCAGUCACAUGCAUAGCACGAUCUUGAUAUGAAAUCCCAUGCAAAUGAUGACCACGCCCACACAAGUAGGCAGUCAAACCGCAACAAGUGCAGACUCUUUUAAAUGCAUAGAUCGACAAAGGUUGUCAUCACACAUGCAACAAAAAAUGUCGAUGAAGGAAGGUCAUCAACACCGCCAAAUACUAAUUGGGGACACUUUUGGUAGUCCCAAACUACCCUCAUACUCCGGCGUCUUCGUCUAAGGCGACAUAAUUAAUCAGCAAAACAAGCUCGUUGUUGUCGCUGAAUGGGAAGGUCGAAGAUCCUCCAACUUAUCAUGACAACCACCUAGCAGCGCAGGAACACGACGCAGUCCGCGCCCCGGGUGGAGGACCGCCUCGUUGGGAUGCAGAAGGGUUCCAUUGGCAUCCACAUACCUGCAGAUGGGAUAUGGGUCACUGAUGCCUCACCCCCAAAAGAAAAUCACCAAUCCAGAUGAAAACACCGUCACCACCGUUGCACAACUAUAAAACUUUGGUUCAACUUGUAGCUCGUAGAUCGCAUCUCAUCGCUAAAGGCUACCAGAGCGGAGAUCUUCCUGUUGCCGUCUUCAUCGACCAAUGUCAGAAUUUAGCAUGUCCACUGUUCUCUAGCAUCGGCAUUGGGAAGGGAAGACGAGGACGUAGGUGGCGGCGAUUGUGGGAAAGGGAGGAGGCGGCGGCUGUUGGGUGGGAGGAGAGACAUCAUUUGUUAGAACAACCGCACUUUACCACACAUAGUGUGUGUUAUGGGACCUUCUAUGAAUCAGUUGUGAGUCAAGAAAAAUUCAAUUAGGGUUUGUUGAUUCCCCUUCUUCUUCGAUGUCGCUAUUAGUCGUCUUCUCCUCCCGUCAGCGUAGAAUCAUCCCCUAGCACUGGCUAAACUGUUUCUGCCGCCACAUGUGGCCAUUGUCAUGCCACCCCAUCGUGCCCUAUGUGCCUCCUAUGUCGUUGUCCCAACCAUCCCUCUAAGGGAACCUCUAGUCGAUCUCCCAAAAGGGCUUAACUCCUAAAAAAAUCCUUUUUAGGAGUUAAGUCACACAUAGCCGAACCCUCAUCUGGUUUAGUUGCUUAAAUGUUUUAGGAGGGGCUUCGGUCAACUCGCAAAUUUGAGCAGCUGAAGCAACUUCUCAAGAAAAAAAUGCCACCCUCACAGCCUCGCUCUCCCGCUUGCCCGCAUCCACACUGGUGUUGCCUCUGGUGUCCAUCCGUAUGUUCCACCAACAUCUCAUAGCCCCCCGCCUCCCCGCCCACUUUGAAUCGCUCACCGUCGCUGCUAUCACUGAAAUGGACCCAUAUCUUCAUUGCCCCGCUCCCAUGGACGAAAAGGCCCACCAUCGAGCUUGGUUUCGUCCUAAAUAGAUCUGGCACACGACCGAGAUGCCUUAGAACACCCGUGGAGGGACUAGGCGAUGCCAGAAUCGCGGACAUGCCGGGGAAAUUGCAAACACCAUAGUUCAUCCGCGACGAGCAUGGUCGGCGACCAACAAACACAGCUUGAGGAUAAUCUUCCUCUUCGAAAGGUUGCCAAAGCCGUCUCGUAACCCCCUGCCCACCAGCAGCCUCGCGAGGCCACGCGACGAUUAUGAAGGAUUACUUUGCAGUCAAUGCAAUGUAUCAAGAGAGGUAUUUUUGGCGGCGAUCUCGUAUGCACUGCGCCAUUGCAAAAACUAUUGAGGAGCAUGAUCUGUUUAAACUAGAGAGGAGUGCAUCAGAAGAGAUAAGUGUGAGCUCAUUGACAAAGCAUGUCGCCACUGUAGUUGCAAUGGAGUAUGUAGACCAAAACAUAAAAAGUUAGUAAAAACCAUUUUUAGGGAGUUAAGUUAUAGGAAUUCCGCUAGGAACCAUUUUUAAUUAACUCCUUAAAAUUUAGGAGUCAAGAUUCGAGGAGGCAUUUGAGGCUAAAUUUUAGGGGAUCGGGUAGAGUUUCCCUAAGCCCUCUUGUCCGACGUCCACAACCAUCCAUAUAGGCCGCAACACAAACUCUUCAACCCUAUAUCUCGCCCAAACCAGGAAUGCCGAUGCAGCCACGUUGUCCGUGUCUUCCGUACGGUCAAGCCCUCAGUGCUUCGCCUCUCGUCUUCCUCUCUUAAAGAAAUUCGAGUGAAUCCCGAAUCAUUUUCGAGCAAGUGUAGAUUAACAAACAGUUUGGCAUGUCUUGCAUAAAAACAGGCUAAGAGCAUCUACAAUCAGGUGCCUCAAACCGGUCUUGAACACAUCGGUAGGCUACUCGGUCAUUGACCGGUAAAAAAACUAACACAGUCGGGAGCCUCAAACCGGCCUCAAGCGUCCGGGCCGUCUGGUGCCCCUCAUAUCUAGCCAAAAUAUAGGGUGGAUAUGGAGCAACCGGGCGUGUCUGCCAUGUCAGCCCGGCCAAUCCCAACCCCACUCCGUCCCCACAAAUACCCCAACCCGGAACCCCAGCUCACUUCACUGUCCUCUCUCGCUUCGUCUCUUCUUCUCCCCUCCUUCGAUUCUCCAUUUUCGAUCCACUUCGACGACUCCGCGAGCAUGUCGAGUGCCAAAAGUCGAUCCGACUACACCCUCAUUGUCAAUGAGGAGCUUGCCCUCCGCAUUGCCCUGGAGAGGGCGAACAUGGGCAUGGGGCAACUCCAGAUCUCCCCCUCGCUCGUCCCCCAUCAGCGCAUCACGACCGGAGCUGGCCCCUCCCAGCCUGCGUGCAACUUCGUGAGGGCUGCGUGAUAACCCACAAGUAUAGGGGAUCUAUUGUAGUCCUUUCGAUAAGUAAGAGUGUCGAACCCAACGAAGUGCAGAAGGAAAUGAUAAGCAAUUUUCAAUAAGGUAUUCUCUGCAAACACUGAAAUUAUCGGUAACAGAUAGUUUUGUGAUAAGGUAAUUUGUAACGGGUAACAAGUAAUAAAAGUAAAUAAGGUGCAGCAAGAUGGCCCAAUCCUUUUUGUAGAAAAGGACAAGCCUGGACAAACUCUUAUAUAAAGGAAAAUGCCCCCGAGGACACAUGGGAAUUAUCAUCAAGCUAGUUUUCAUCACGCUCAUAUGAUUCGCGUUCGGUACUUUGAUAAUUUGAUAUGUCGGUGGAUCGGUGCUUGGGUACUGCCCUUCCUUGGAGCAUCCUACUUAUGAUUAACCCCUCUUGAAAGCAUCCUCAACUACAAAAGAAGUAUUAAGGUAAACCUAACCAUAGCAUGAAACAUAUGGAUCCAAAUCAGCCCCUUACGAAGCAACGCAUAAACUAGGGUUUAAGCUUUUGUCAAUGAUACGUCUCCAACGUAUCUAUAAUUUUUGAUUGCUCCAUGCUAUUAUAUUAUCUGUUUUGGAUGUUAAUGGGCUUUAUUUUACACUUUUAUAUCAUUUUUGGGACUAACCUAUUAACCGGAGGCCCAGCCCAAAUUGCUGUUUUUUGCCUAUUUCAGUGUUUCGUAGAAAAGGAAUAUCAAACGGAGUCCAAACGGAAUGAAACCUUCGGGAGCGUGAUUUUUGGAACAAACAUGAUCCAGGGGACUUGGAGUGGACGUCAAGCAAUCAACGAGGUGGCCACGAGGCAGGGGCGCGCCUACCCCCUGGGCGCGCCCUCCACCCUCAUGGGCCCCUCGUUGCUCGACCGACCUACUUCUUCCUCCUAUAUAUAUCUACGUACCCCGCAAACAUCCAGGAGCACCACGAAAACCUAAUUCCACUGCCGCAACCUUCUGUACCCAAGAGAUCCCAUCUUAGGGCCUUUUCUGGAGCUCCGCCAGAGGGGGCAUUGAUCACAGAGGGCCUCUUCAUCAACUUUAUGGCCUCUCUGAUGAUGUGUGAGUAGUUUAUUUCAGACCUUCGGGUCCAUAGCUAGUAGCUAGAUGGCUUCUUCUCUCUCUGUGGAUCUCAAUACAAAGUUCUCCUCGAUCUUCUUGGACAUCUACUCGAUGUAACUCUUUUUGCGGUGUGUUCGUCGAGAUACGAUGAAUUGUGGGUUUAUGAUCAAGUUUAUCUAUGAACAAUAUUCGAAUCUUCUCUAAAUUAUUUUAUGUAUGAUUGGUUAUCUUUGCAAGUCUCAUCGAAUUAUCAGUUUGGUUUGGCCUACUAGAUUGAUCUUUCUUGCAAUGGGAGAAGUGCUUAGCUUUGGGUUCAAUCUUACGGUGCUCGAUCCCAGUGACAGAAACAGAAACGGCAUGUAUUGUAUUGUUGUCAUCGAGGAUAAAAAGAUGGGGUUUAUAUCAUAUUGCAUGAGUUUAUCCCUCUACAUCAUGUCAUCUUGCUUAAGGCGUUACUCUCUUCUUAUGAACUUAAUACUCUAGAUGCAUGCUGGAUAGAUGUUGAUGUGUGGAGUAAUAGUAGUAGAUGCAGGCAGGAGUUGGUCUACUUGUCACAGACGUGAUGCCUAUAUACAUGAUCAUACCUAGAUAUUCUCACAAUUAUUCGCUUUUCUAUCAAUUGCUCGACAGUACUUUGUUCACCCACUGUAAUACUUAUGCUAUCUCGAGAGAAGCCACUAGUGAAACCUAUGGCCCCCGGGUCUAUUCUCCAUCAUAUAAGUUUCCAAUCUAUUUUAUUUUGCAAUCUUUACUUUCAAUCUAUAUCAUAAAAAUACCAAAAAUAUUUAUCUUAUUAUCAUUAUCUCUAUCAGAUCUCACUCUUGCAAGUGGCCGUGAUGGGAUUGACAACCCCUUUAUCGUGUUGGUUGCGAGGUUCUUAUUUGUUUGUGUAGGUACGAGGUGACUCGCGCGUGGUCUCCUACUGGAUUGAUACCUUGGUUCUCAAAAACUGAGGGAAAUACUUAUGCUGCUUUGCUGCAUCACCCUUUCCUCUUCAAGGGAAAAACCAACGCAUGCUCAAGAGGUAGCAAUAAGGAUUUAUGGCGCCCUUGCCGGGGAGAUCUAUGCCAAGUCAAGACAUACCAAGUACCCAUCACAACUCUUAUCCUUCGCAUUACAUUAUUUGCCAUUUUCCUCUCGUUUUCCUCUCCCCCACUUCACCCUUGCCAUUUUAUUCGCCUCUUUCCCAUUUGUUUUCUUGUACCAUGGCCGAUUCAAAAAGGGCUAAGGGUUCGCUCCCGGGUUUUACCUUGGAUAGUCCCUCUGUCCUCUCUAAGCUCAUAAAUAAUGAUGCUACUGAGAGACCUACCGGGGUUAUCAAUGAGAGUUUGAAUAAUUUUGAUGAAGAUGAUCCCGGAAUAUUUCAUUAUUUACUUGAUGAAUCUUUGAAAGAUGCUUGGGAUAGGCUAUUAAUAAUUUGAGCUAGCUAUGUGCCCCAAUAUCAAAUUGAGGUUUACCUGAAAAACUUUUAUAUUGGUUUACCCUCUUCAUUCAAGCAAGUUCUAGAUUCUAUCUUCGAAGAAGGUUUUCUUGAGGGGGAUCCCAUUGAUACUUAUGAAAAGAUGAAAACUAUAUUUGGGCACCCCAUAAGUGAGAAGGUUGAACCUACCUCUCUUUUGUGCUUUUACCAAAAUGAAACUAUCAAAGAAAUUAGGGCUAGCUUAGAGGCCAAUUUCCGUAACGUGCUUAAUCUUUAUUACACUAUAAAUGGACACGUGCUAUCUCAAAAUAUAAAAAUAAAUGCUAUAGAAAAUAUUUUUUAUCUUUUCUUUCCUAAUACCAAAUAUGCCAAUACCUAGAUCUAUCCUCGCUUUUAUGCCUAGCUAGGGGCGUUAAACGAUAACGCUUGUUGGGAGGCAACCCAAUUUUAUUUUUAUUCCUUGCUUUUUGUUACUAUUUAGUAAUAAAUAUUUUAUCUAUCCUCUAUUUUGGUUAUGUUUUUGUAUUUAAUUAGUGUUUGUGCCAAGUAGAACCGUUGGGAAGACUUGGGGAAAGUCUUUUUCAUCUUGCUCUAAAAAACAGAAACUUUAGCGCUCACGAGAAUUGCUGCCAUUUUUUAUUGGAGAUUGCUAUUUAGUUAAUUAUUUUUUCAUAUGAUUAAUAGAUAAAUUCCUCACGUCCAGCAAUUUAUUUUAGAAUUUUUGGGAUUCCAUAAGUUUUCGUUAGUUACAGAUUACUACAUACUGUUAUGUUUUUGACAGAUUCUGUUUUUCGUGUGUUGUUUGCUUAUUUUGAUGAAUCUAUGGCUAUUAAUAGAGUUUAUAAACCAUAUAUAAGUUGGAAUACAGUAGGUUUAACACAAAUAUAAAUAAAUAAUGAGUUCAUUACAGUACCUUAAAGUGGUGUUUUGUUUUGUUUCGCUAACGGAGCUCACGAGAUUUUCUGUUAAGUUCUGUGUUGUGAAGUUUUCAAGUUUUGGGUAAAGAUUUGAUGGAUUAUGGAACAAGGAGUGGCAAGAGCCUAAGCUUGGGGAUUCCAAAGGCACCCCAAGGUAAAUCCAAGGAUACCAACAAGCCUAAGCUUGGGGAUGCCCCGGAAAGCAUCCCCUCUUUUGUCUUCGUUCAUCGGUAACUUUACUUGGAGCUAUAUUUUUUAUUCACCACAUGAUAUGUGUUUUGCUUGGAGCGUCUUGUAUGAUUUGAGUAUUUGAUUUUUAGUUUACCACAAUCAUCCUUGCUGUACACACCUUUUGAGAGAGACACACAUGAAUCGGAAUUUAUUAGAAUACUCUAUGUGUUUCACUUAUAUCUUUUGAGCUAUAUAGUUUUUGCUCUAGUGCUUCACUUAUAUCUUUUAGAGCAUGGUGGUGGUUUUAUUUUAUAAAAUAAUUGAUCUCUCAUGCUUCACUUAUAUUAUUUUGAGAGUCCCUUAAAACAGCAUGGUAAUUUGCUUUUAGUAAUAAUAAAAACUUUCAUAUAAGUGCAUUGAAUACUAUGAGAAGUUUGAUACUUGAUAAUUGUUUUGAGAUAUGGAGAUGGUGAUAUUAGAGUCAUGCUAGUUGAGUAGUUGUGAAUUUGAGAAAUACUUUUGUUGAGGUUUUUGAUUCCCAUAGCAUGCACGUAUGGUGAACUGUUAUGUGAUGAAGUCGGAGCAUGAUUUAUUUAUUGAUUGCCUUCUGAUACAUCUCCAACGUAUCUAUAAUUUUUUUAUUGCUCCAUGCUAUAUUAUCUACUGUUUUGGACAUUAUUGGGCUUUAUUAUCCACUUUUAUAUUAUUUUUGGGACUAACCUAUUAACCAGAGGCCCAGCCCAGAAUUGUUGUUUUUUGUCUAUUUCAGGGUUUCGAAGAAAAGGAAUAUCAAAUGGAGUCCAAACGGAAUGAAACCUUCGGGAACGUGAUUUUCUCAUCGAACAUGAUCCAGGAGACUUGGACCCUAUGUCAAGAAACAAAGGAGGAGGCCACGAGGUAGGGGGCGCGCCUACCCCCCAGGCGCGCUCUCCACCCUCAUGGGCCUCCUAUUGCUCCACCGACAUACUCCUUCCUGCUAUAUAUACCUACGUAACCCCAAACGAUCAGAUACAGAGCCAAAACCCUAAUUCCACCUCCGCAACUUCUGUAUCCACGAGAUCCCAUCUUGGGGCCUGUUCCGAAGCUCCGCCGGAGGAGGUAUCCAUCACGGAGGGCUUCUACAUCAACAUCAUAGCCCCUCUGAUGAAGUGUGAGUAGUUCACCUCAGACCUCUUGAGCACUGCAUUGGUUUUCCCCAAAGAGGAAGGGAUGAUGCAGCAAAGUAGCGUAAGUGUUUCCCUUAGUUUUUGAGAACCAAGGUAUCAAUCCAGUAGGAGGCUACGCGCGAGUCCCUUGUACCUGAACAAAACAAAUAAAUCCUCGUAACCAAUGCGAAUAGGGGUUGUCAAUGCCUACAAGGCUACUUACGAGAGUGAGAUCUAAUAGAUAUGAUAAGGUAAUAUUUUUGGUAUUUUCGUGAUAAAGAUGCAAAGUAAAAUAAAGGCAAAGUAAAAAAACAAAGGAAAUAACUAAGUAGUAGGAGAUCAAUAUGAUAAAGAUAGACCCGGGGGCCAUAGGUUUCACUAAUGGCUUCUCUUGAGAACAUAAGUAUUCUACGGUGGGUGAACAAAUUACUGUUGAGCAAUUGACAGAAUUGAGCAUAGUUAUGAGAAUAUCUAGGUAUGAUCGUGUAUAUAGGCAUCACGUCCGAGACAAGUAGACCGACCCCUGCCUGCAUCUACUAAUAUUACUCAACUCAUCGACCGCUAUCCAGCAUGCAUCUAGAGUAUUAAGUUAAUGAAAACAAAGUAAUGCCUUAAGCAAUAUGACAUGAUGUAGAGGGAUAGACUCAUGAAAUAUGAAGAAAACCCCAUUUUGUUAUCCUCGAUGACAACAAUACAAUACGUGCCUUGCUGCCCCUACUAUCACUGGGAAAGGACACCGCAAGAUUGAACCCAAAGCUAAGCACUUCUCCCAUUGCAAGAAAGAUCAAUCUAGUAGGCCAAACCAAACUGAUAAUUCACAGAGACUUGCAAAGAUAACCAAUCAUACAUAAAAGAAUUCAUAGAAGAUUCAAAUAUUGUUCAUAGAUAAACUUGAUCAUAAACCCACAAUUCAUCGGUCUCAACAAACACACCGCAAAAAGAAGAUUACAUCGAAUAGUUCUCCACAAGAGAGGGGGAGAACAUUGUAUUGAGAUCCAAAAAGAGAGAAGAAGCCAUCUAGCUACUAACUAUGGACCCGUAGGUCUGAGGCAAACUACUCACACUUCAUCGGAGAGGCUAUGGUGUUGAUGUACGAGCCCUCCGUGAUCGAUGCCCCCUCCGGCGGAGCUCUGGAACAGGCCCCAAGAUGGGAUCUCAUGGAUACAGAAAGUUGCGGCGGUGGAAUUAGGUUUUGGCUCCGUAUCUGAUCGUUUGGGGGUACGUAGGUAUAUAUAGGAGGAAGGAGUACGUCAGUGGAGCAACAGGGGGCCCACGAGGGUGGAGGGCGCGCCUGGUGGGGGUGGGCGCGCCUGGUGGGGGUGGGCGCGCCUGGUGGGGGUGGGCGCGCCCCCUACCUCGUGGCCUCCUAUUUUGUGUCUUGACGUAGGGUCCAAGUCUACCGGGUCUUGUUUUUUGAGAAAAUCACGUUCCCGAAGGUUUCAUCCCAUUUGGACUCCGUUUGAUAUUCCUUUUCUUUGAAACCCUAAAACAGGCAAAAACAGCAAUUCUGGGCUGGGCCUCCGGUUAAUAGGUUAGUCCCAAAAAUAAUAUAAAAGUGGAUAAUAAAGCCCAAUAAUGUCCAAAACAGUAGAUAAUGUAGCAUGGAGCAAUUGAAAAUUAUAGAUACGUUGGAGACGUAUCAUUGGUUAUCUUUGCAAGUCUCUUUGAAUUAUUAGUUUGGUUUGGCCUACUAGAUUGAUCUUUCUUGCAAUGGGAGAAGUGCUUAGCUUUGGGUUCAAUCUUGCGGUGUCCUUUCCCAGUGACAGUAGGGGCAGCAAGGCACGUAUUGUAUUGUUGCCAUCGAGGAUAACAAGAUGGGGUUUUCAUCAUAUUGCAUGAGUUUAUCCCUCUACAUCAUGUCAUCUUGCUUAAAGCAUUACUCUGUUUUCAUUAACUUAAUACUCUAGAUGCAUGCUGGAUAGCGGUCGAUGAGUGGAGUAAUAGUAGUAGAUGCAGGCAGGAGUCGGUCUACUUGUCUCGGACGUGAUGCCUAUAUACAUGAUCAUACCUAGAUAUUCUCAUAACUAUGCUCAAUUUUGUCAAUUUCUCAACAGUAAUUCGUUCACCCACCGUAAAAUACCUAUGCUCUUGAGAGAAGCCACUAGUGAAACCUAUGGCCCCGGGUCUAUCUUCAUCAUAUUAAUCUUCCAAUACUUAGUUAUUUCCUUUGCUUUUUUACUUUGCUUUUAUUUUACUUUGCAUCUUUAUCACAGAAAUACCAAAAAAAUUAUCUUAUCAUAUCUAUCAGAUCUCACUCUCGUAAGUGGCCAUGUAGGGAUUGACAACCCCUUAUCGUGUUGGUUGCGAGGAUUUAUUUGUUUGGUGUAGGUACAAGGGACUCGCGCGUAGCCUUCUACUGGAUUGAUACCUUGGUUCUCAAAAACUAAGGGAAAUACUUACGCUACUUUGCUGUGUCAUCCCUUGCUCUUCGGGGAAAACCAAGGCAGUGCUCAAGAGGUAGCACCUUCCUUAUGAGUGGCAGUCGGGGACAAGUGAUGGUCUUUUCCUACCAAUCUAUCCCCCUAGGAGCAUGCCCGUAGUACUUUGUUUCGAUAACUAAUAGAUUUUUGCAAUAAGUAUGUGAGUUCUUUAUGACUAAUGUUUAGUCCAUGGAUUAUACGCACUCUCACCCUUCCAUAUUUUCUAGCCUAUCUUUUACCAUGCACUUUUCACCGGUAUCAUACACCCACCAUAUACCUUCCUCAAAACAGCCACCAUACCUACCUAUUAUGGCAUUUCCAUAGCCAUUCCGAGAUAUAUUGCCAUGCAACUUUCCACCGUUCCGUUUGUUAUGACACGCUUCAUCAUUGUCAUAUUGCCAUGCAUGAUCAUGUAGUUGACAUCGUAUUUGUGGCAAAGCCACCUUUCAUAAUUUUUCAUACAUGUCACUAUUGAUUCAUUGCACAUCCCGGUACACCGCCGGAGGCAUUCACAUAGAGUCAUAUUUUGUUCUAAGUAUUGAGUUGUAAUUCUUGAGUUGUAAGUAAAAAGAAGUGUGAUGAUCAUCAUUAUUAGAGCAUUGUCCCAGUGAGGAAAGGAUGAUGGAGACUAUGAUUCCCCCACAAGUCGGGAUGAGACUCCGGACGAAAAAAAAGA